rnacentral:lncRNA from 1 species
GUACCGGAUUUUAAAUGUAAAAGUGAAAAUAAAUAAAAAUAGUGUGGGAUACUAUUUUUAUUGGACUUAUAGACAUAAAUUAUAAGUCUAGAGUGACCCGUGUUGAAAUGGAAGCGAAAACAGAAGAUUUAGAAUUUUCUGUGAGAGACAGGGCAGACGAAAAAUAUCUGUACCGUGCUGCUAAACUGAAUGUGAAUAGUGUUCUUGGAUAACUUGGAGGCCAAGUUUCCUAGAUAACUUGGAGGCCAAGUUUCCUAUGAAACUUGGAGGCUAAGUUUCCUAUGACACUUGGAGACCAAGUUUCCUAUGAAACUUGGAGGCCAAGUUUCCUAUAUAUAUAUAUAGGGGACUUGAGCAUUUUCUUUCUUUCUCCCUCACACUUGCAACCAAAGAGAAAUAUCUCUCUCUCUCUAACAAUUUCUCCACCAAAGAGAGGAAUUGGAGGUGCAUUUGGAGAAGAAAAAGGUUGCUUGGAGGUGAAGUCUUCAUCCUCUUCAUUACUUGGUUUGAGGAAAAGCUUGUGUUUGAGGUGCCUAAACGCGUGUGAAGCGUCGGUUCGUCGAUUCGUCGAGCAGGUGCGACCGAAGAGUAAAGCGGCGACUAGGGAACGUGCAAUUGAGAACCUAGCCUCGUGAUAGCGGUAAAAGGUGGGGGGUGUCAUCCCGAAACAUCCGGGUUUCCUUUUAUGCCUAAGUUAAUUUUAUUCAUCAUAUAUUGAUUGAGCAUUAUAGGAUUAGUAAAGUAUAUUUCCAUUCCUUGCAUGCUUACUUAGUAGUGUAGCGGUAUGGACCUAACACUUGGACUAGGGAGGCAUGAGGAUUGGGUCUUGAGACAAAGAAUCCUAUAGUGGCAAAAGUGAUGAAUUUGGACAUAGCCUAGUAGAGUGGCAUUGAACUAGUGUAGGAGAGACACUAUGACAUGAACAAAUAACAUGUAGAAUAAUUGAGACAUUUACUACAAUGACUAAACGAGUGGCAUUGAGUCUAGUGUAGUAAACUCGACAUGUACUUAGGGAUAGUAGAGAUCCCGGCAUCUAGGAUGCAUUGUACAUUGUGCAGCAGAGGCACGUUGACCCUUGUAGAUAGGGUAUCCUCUUGUGAGGAUUGGAUCAUACUCACUAGUCUGUUUUUGCUUGUCGGUGGUCGCUCCACCGAGGCACGAGUCUCCGGAGUACUUCACUAGGGGCAGACGUAGUUGUCCCGCAGACGGUCUCGGUGUGCGAGUGCAGUUUCUCCUCACCUAUGAGAUUGAGAGUGAGUCGGGGUUGACCCCGGGGUGGCAACCUUCGGGUUGGCCAUGAGAUUGGAUACUACCGAGGCAUAGUUGCACGACGCACUGUGUAGCUCGUUCAUUUGGAUUAUUGAGGCAUAGUAGCAUGUGCAGAUACAUCACUAUGUAGUAGCUCAUUUCCAAGCAGAUUGGGUAAAGAAUAUGAAUGGCAUAGCAGAUUUGCAUUCAUACCUUGAGUUGACAUUGAGACAUAGUAGCAUGUUGUAGAUACAUCACUAUGUAGUAGCUCAUUUCCAUUAUUGUUGAAGCAUAGUAUCAUGAUUAGUAGAAUAUCAUUGCUAUGUUCAUGCAUUACCUCGAGUAGACAUAGUGUAUGUUGUAGAUUGCAUUACUAUGUACUUUUCUAUACUCAUGACAUGAUUCUCGCAUGAUAGUAGUUGUUGCAUGCAUUAUCAUCGUUGAUGGCAUGAUAGAGUAGUCGCAGUUUACUUUUAUCUAUCUAUCUAUCUCUCUAUCUGUGCCAGCUUAGACCUAGUGGGAAAACCGGCGGCGUCGGCGGCCGAACCCACUGGGAACUAUAUUUAUAUAGUUCUCACCCCGUGUGGUUUUGGGGUACAGGUACACAUAGAGGCGAGCCGAGCGAGGACCGCGGCAAGGGCAUAGCGCCCUAAGUGAGCCUAGUUAGUAGCUUUUCCUUAUGCAUUAGAGUACCCUCGUGUACUAGUUGAUAUUUUGGAUAGAUAUCAGAGAGCUACUUGUAUUUUGAAGAAAACAUGUACUUACAUUUUGGAAGAUGAAAAUAUAAUAUAUUCAAAUAAUGUAAAUGUUGAAUGAUUGUGAUAGUUAGACUAUCUCUCUUUAUACACUUGUAUGUCACUUGUGGUUCUUGCUCUUAGAUGUAUUGCACUUGUGUGCAUCGUAUUUGAUCAUGUAUGUUAUUUAAGCAAAUUCCUGGGUGCUUAAUUGUACAUGAUCUGGUUGCUUGGCCUUGGGCGGACAGGAGAGGUACUGUCCGUUCGGCGGUCCGUCCGAUGUGCCCGAACCGUGCCAAAUUGGUAGUGGAUUCGGGGCAGGGCGUGACAUUUUCUCUAAAGCGGGUGCCGAUAGAGAAGCUGGAAUUGACUGUAGGCAAAAGGAUGAAAGCAAAAUAAGUGUUGGGUACAGUAAGAAAAGAAGAUUCUAAAGAAAACAGAGUUAAUUACCGAAGAUGGAGGGAUGUGAGAUACAUGAUCGGAAGUUUCUUCCGAUUCUUCUUUCGAUACAGUGGCGGUAUCAUCCGAGAGACUUUUGCUCGGAAAGGGCACUGUUAUGGGAAGAGAGAUAAAUAAAUAAGCAGGAGUUAUGUAACAGAAAAUUUUCUAUCAGUAAGGAACAUACCAGUUGGGCGAAUAGUUUUGCGAUGUGCCUGUGAGGUAGACAAAUUGAAGGUAGUACUGACAAAACGAUCCUAAUUAACGGUAUAGCGGAAACCUACUACUCCUGUAUAAUUCGGCCUGAAACUUAAUAAUUUGAAAAUUCGCCGAAGACAAUUCCCCAUGGCCGACAUUCGAUCAGCAUCGGCUGUACUUUUGGUGGGGGGACGAUGAACGACAGUAUUGGCUGUAAAGAACUUGGCUGGAGCAGGGGUUGUUUGUGUAAAUCCGAAUUGACGUGCUGCGAACUGGGGGGAGUAAACCUCAGUACUGGGCAGUAGUUUCGAGCGCGAUUUCAAACCAAGGUGCAAAUCCCUUGUAGCCAAAAAAGAGUACCAGACAUCUGAAUGUUCGCCGGCACGGGAAGAAGCUGCUUCGCCUUGAAUAGCUUCAUACCUAGCUAAAAACCAAGAUGGGCCGGUGACACGAUUGGCAAAAGGAGACCAAGAAAUGAGAAAAUGAGGAUCUGAUUCAUAAAAAGCUUUGAAAUAGGUGAUAAAAUCAAGAGGGUGGCCUGAUGUUAACGGCUGAGGACAACCGAGGGCAAGCCUAUAGGAGUCAAAAUAAGCAACCGAGUCUAGAUCUAGAGGAUCUCGGCACAAUUUAUGAAAAUAAAUCUGCAGAAACAUUUGCAAAAACCAAAAAAUACCACAGCCCGAGCUGAUUGUCUGAGGGUAGUGGUUUAAUGAAAUCAAAGAUUUCCCUAUAGACGAAGGCAAGAAAAUAAGGUCCUAGAGCUAAUCUAUCGCCGUUUGAUAAACCAACGGCGAUUGGGACAAAGUCCCGAUUGAUUUUCUGCGAACGAGUGCAAAAGAGAUUGUGGCAUAACCAAUAUAGGAGGAACGCUGUAUGUUCUUUCCUAGUGACAGGGUGUAAUACCCGUAUCUAAUUAAUUUAAAUUAGAAUUUAAAUAUGUGGCCAUGAUUGUAGUUUUGUGAUAAACCCGUUAUUAAAUAUUUUUUGAUUUAUUUGUACAGUCGGAUUAAGCGGAUUCGGUUGGAUUUGAUUUUCGGAUUAAUUAUACUGUAAUACUAGUUAGAGUAGGAUUGAGAUUUAGCCCUAAUUAAUCACCUAUAAAUAGGUAAUUUAGGGAGGGUGUACGGCCAAAAAAAUAUUAUAAUAAUAAAUAUUGUUGCCGGAUUCUUUGUGCAAGCGUGGCCGCCGACGGGAGCAAGAUCCGACAAUCGUGGAGGAGAGGAAAAAGAACGAGAGUGAGGUGAGUCUCCAAUAAUUAGUUUUCUCAUUUUUUUCUCUCUUUUCUUUCUUCUUCUAUCUCCCAAUCUUAUCCUCUCUCCUCGUUGUACCGCCGCCGCCGUCGCCGGAGUAGUCGCCGGCCAUCUACGGACGGGUUGGGGUGAACCCCCUAUGGGGUAACACCAUGGUUGGCCAUGAGAGGGGUAUGAGAGAGCUUCUUUGUUUGAGUUGGGAAGAAGAAGAGAGGAGAUGAGAUUAUUUUGGAUCUGUCUAGACCCGGAUCACGGUGCACCACGUUAAUUUUUGCAUGAUUUAUUUUUAUAUUUAGGUUUCAAUUUAUCGUAACGAUAUUAGACGUAAUUAAGUUGUUAAUUAGAGUGUUUUGCCUCUAUCGGUUGAAUUAUAUUUAAUUGGAAAAGCUUCUGGUGCACGUUGCUGAUGCUGGAUCGGGUGCAGCGAAAUUUUGGUGCUUAUAAUGGCUUAAAAGAUCAGCUAGGGACCAAUCUGUAAAUAGCNGCUUUUAGGAUUUUUAUCUAUGUCGCGAUCUCUUUAAAUUUAUGGAAAAAAAAGGUAAUCGAACGAUUUUUUCAAUAGAGAAAGCUAAUUGGACAGUGACAGAUUGAGGGAUUGGUUUGGGAAACGAAAAUCCUAAACCUAAUUUUUCUUUUUUUUUUUAUUUUAAUCUCGAAUUCUUACUGCGUAUCCAUUUAGAAUUUAAUUUAUUUGUAUUAUUUUUGAUAUGGUGGUUGUAUCAAUCAGGGAUUUAAUUUAUAAGCAUUAUUUUGAUUAAUUUAGAGGUUAAUUUUAAUUUCAUAAUUGAUGUGGCAGUUCUGGUCUGCAACUUCUUACCACCGCAUGCCCAAAAUGUUAGUUUAUAAGCUUGUUUUAUUUGUUUAUUUUUAUUUGAAGAGUUGUAUUUCUUAUGAAAGGGUGUGUCCUUUUGUAAGGGAUGUCUCUUUCGGUUUAGGGUCAUGUCCUUUAGUGAAAGGUUGUAUUUUUUCGUGAAGAGUUGCGUCGUUUCAUACUCUAUAAGUAGAAAGCAUGUAAUUUGUUAUGUAGAGUUGUGAAGUGUGGAUCAAAUUGUAUUAUUCAGUUGUAGUGUACUGAAGUUUAUUUAUAUUAAUAAAGUUUGUUAUUUUAGUGAUAAAAACUUUUGUAAUUCAUUUAUAUAUUUGCCUGCCAACAUUUGGUAUAAGGGCCAAAACAAAACUCUAUUAAAAAAUGGCCACACAACUUGUCACGCCCCGGAGCCGCCAAUUUGGUCGGUUCGGGUACGUCAACAGACGCCGAACGGACAGCACCUCCCCUGUCCGCCUAAGGCUCCAACAACAAGUAUAAUACAAGCAAUUCAAUACAAGAUAAAUGCAAUUAUACAAGAUUUGCUCGAGGGCAAACAACAACCAUGAGUAGUGAAAGCUCUAAGCUACUACACUAAACAUACAUCCAUAUACAUGUCAUUUGAUUAUAUUUUAACCAAACACAAGUAAACUACACAUUUUACAUUCAUUCAUGCACAUCAAUUACAUCCAACCCAAAAUAUAAGGUUUACAUCUUUUUACAUUUCUAGUUCAACAUACAAAAGUUGAAUAUUUACAUAGGGAAUGCCUACAACUCCGAUGGCCGCUAACUACGGCGCUAGACCCUUGCCUCGAUCCUCCGCCGCCCUACUCACGGCAGGGUUAGUUGUGGUGUGAGAACUAAAAGAAGUUUCCAGUGGGUUCGGCCGCCGACCUCGCCAACUCGUCCACUAGGUCUAUUCAGGCAUAUGUAUUUCAAGAAAAAGUAGAUAGCAAACCAACUAAUGCUACUAAUACAAUGCCUGCAAGAAAGCUGUCAACAGAUAGAUAAUCAUGUAUAUGAUAAUUAUGCAGGCAUGGUUUUCCUCAUUCUCUUUGGCCUUUACCCAAUCAUCCCGGGGUGCUCCUGGUUUACCCCAAACUCACAAUCCAAAUUCCCGUCUACCAGGGAGGCACCUAGUAUAACCACCAGAGGGAAUGAUGACGGGGCACUCUCCCCGUGGUGUCUACACUCCGGAGUACACCGCUUGAGGAGGAGCUGCCUCCCUCAAGCCAAAACCAAUAUGAGUACGAUCCAAUCCUCAAUUUAAGGGCAUAGAGCCACACUUGCCAUAAUCCACGAUGCCACAAUGCCCAUGAUAGGUUGCUACCUUAUCAUAUAUACCAUUCAUUAAGCCACAAAUGUCAUGAUGCCACAAUAGGUUAAACCUUGUUUAGCCAUUCUCAUUCUCGGUGUCAAUCUCGUCGCUAAUGUCAAUGUCACCUUUGUUUACCAUUGUCAUAGUCUCUUUCAUACAUUCACACACAUAAGGGUUUUCACAUUCAUAGUUCACAUGGUUCUAUGUCAAUUCAUAUGUUCUCUAGUCAUAUAAUUGAAUCUCAACCAAUAAUGUACAUCACACUACCCUAUAUGCAUGAAUGCUACAAUUUCAAUAUGCUCAAAUAAAGGUAACACAGACAUAGGAGGAAAUUCAGUAAUUUCGAGUAGCACCCCCCACCUUGUAGGAAUGCUAGGAUGCCACGAUCCAAUUCUCAUGAUUUUAGACAUCUACGCCGCGAGCUGCGGCAAUCUGUACCGAAAAAGUCUUUUUCUUCAAUUUCUUCGCGCACACUCGUCAGAUUGUCAAACCGAGCGCACCAACGUGUUAGAACACCUACCAAUUAGGGUAAUAAGAGAUCAUUCCCAAGAUUAGACCUCACUUUAACCAAACCCUAAUAUUAGGUCCUUAUACAAUGUCAUCUUCCCCCAAUCAAGUCCCUAGACAUGAGAACAUGGGGAAAUCUACCAUACACACCUCCUAGAAGCAUGCUAGAAGGAAUUAAACCGAAACCCUAACUCAAAACCAUGGAAACUCACCUUAGAGUCCCAAGCUUUCCUCCAAAAGCUCUUGUACAAGCUAGCCACCACCUUGACAAGCUUCUUCUCCAAGCUUAACUCCUCCAAAGCUUUCCUCGUCCAAGCUCUAAAGAGAGAGGAAGAGAGAAAGAGAGGAAUUUUUUUAGAGAGAGAGAGGGAGAAGUUCUAAUGGUAUAGGUGUGAGAAAUGAGCCCUAACAUUAAGCCCUCACACAUAAAACCACUCACUAUGUCACAUAUGCACAAAGCCCCCUCAACUUUCCACAAUUCAUGGCAGCCCAACUUGGGCAAAUUUCGCAUAUGGGGACCGAUCCCUCCUCACAGGGACCGGACCCCGAGUGCACGAUUUCUAGGACUUAGCCAAUUUUUCACAAAUUUGGCAGAGCAAGAAGAAGCUGCAUUAAUUAUAGCCCGACGAAACGAUUUGAAGGAUUUAAGAAAAAAGGACAAAAAGGCGAUCUUCUAUCUUUACCAAGCAGUAGACGAGUCGACAUUUGAGAAAAUUGCCGAAGCAACUUCGAGCAAAGCAGCAUGGGAUAUUCUUGCCACCAUCUUUAUAGGAGAUGACAAAGUAAAGCAGAUUCGUCUACAAAAGCUUCAAGCGAAAUUCGAAGCAAUCCGAAUGAAGGAGUCCGAAAGUGUCGUGGACUAUGUUUCUAGUAUUUUGGUAAUUGCCAACCAAAUGAAGCGAAAUGGAGAAGAACUAAAUGAUGAACGAGUUGUAGAAAAGGUUCUUCAUUCCCACACAUCAAAGUUUGAGUAUAUUGUUGUCACCAUAGAAGAGUCAAAAGAUAUCAAUACUCUUUCUAUUGACCAAUUGACAAGAUCCCUCCAAGUGCAUGAGCAAAGACUAUAAAAGGUGUCUAAAGAAGAGUCGACUGAGCAGGCUCUCAAGUCAAAAUUGAAACUUGAUAAUAGAAAAGGCAAAAAUCAUGGAGAAAAUAAUUAUAAUAGAUAUAAGAAUCAAAAGAGAUAUAACAAUGACCAGCAGAAUAGCAACAACAUUGGUCGCUAUUCACGACAUGUAUAUGGACCAAAGAGAGCGGACUAAAUAACAAUUGCCUAGGGUCUUAUGAUGGUGCAAGAUCAAAUAUACAAUGCUAUAAUUGUAAAAAAUAUGGUCACUACAGCAAAGAUUGCUGGUAUAAGAAGACUGAAGGAGUGAAUCACUACAUCGACAGUACAAUAGAAGAUUAAGUUGCAGAAACAUCAUUGUUACUUGCAUGUCAAGAUGAAGUUAAAGAUCUAGAAUAUGUAUGGUUUCUGGAUUCCGGUGCUUCAAAUCAUAUGUGUGGAAGGAGAGAACUAUUUGUUGAAAUGGAUGAAAAUGUUGAUGGCAAUGUGAAGUUUGGUGAUUCAUCCAAAGUACCUGUUAAAGGAAAAGGAAAAUUUAUGUUUAAAUAAAAAAAUGCUGAAGAAGAAUUCAUCUCCAAUAUAUAUUAUGUGCCCGAAUUAAAGAGCAACAUACUGAGUAUCGGACAAUUUGUGGAGAAAGAAUAUAUCGUUCAUAUAUAAGGCUCUCUACUCUGACUUUGAAGGAUAAGAAAGGCAAAAUGAUUGUAAAUGCGCAUAUGUCGAAGAAUUGAAUGUUUCCUAUAAACAUAAAGUCAGAAAUUGAAAGGUGCCACUACUCUGAAUUUAAAGAAGAAUCAGAAUUAUGGCAUUUGAGGUAUGGGCAUUUAAAUUACAAUAGUUUAAAAUUAUUAUCAUCUAAAAGAAUGGUACAUGGUCUUCCCGUUAUCAAACAUUCAAAUGCAAUAUGUGAAGGCUGUAUAAUUGGAAAACAAACAAAACUUCCUUUUAUGAGUAGCAAAACAAAAUUUGCAACGAAACCUCUGAAUUUAGUGCAUAUUGAUAUAUGUGGUUCUCUUCCUGAGUCUCGUGGAGGAAAUAAGUAUUUUAUUAGUUUUAUUGAUGAUUGCACUAGAAAGAUAUGGAUUUACUUUACUAAAGAGAAAUCUGCUGCAUUUUUUACUUUCAAAAAAUAUAAGGCUUUGGUAGAAAGGAAAAGUGGAAACAAAAUAAAAAUAUUAAGAUCUGACAGAGGAGGAGAAUACACUUCAAAUGAAUUUAAAGAUUAUUGUAAUACAACAGCAAUUCACUACAGCAUAUAGUCCACAACAGAAUGGUAUAGCCGAGCGAAAAAUAGAACAAUUUUAGAUAUGACAAGAAGCAUGCUUAAAGAAAAACCUUUGCCUAAGUCAUUUUGGGCCGAAGCAGUUGCAUGCGCAACAUAUUUAAUUAAUAGAAGUCCAACGAAGAGUCUAAAGAAUAUGACACCGGAAGAAGGGUGGAGUGGAUAUAAACCUGGAGUUAAACAUCUCAAGAUAUUUGGAUGCAUUGCUUACGCACAAAUUCCCAUGGAGAAAAGAAAGAAGUUACAUGAUCGAGGCGAAAAAUGUAUCUUUACUGGUUAUAGUGAGCAUUCUAAAGCUUACAAACUCUAUAAUCCAAUUACCAAUAAAGUAAUUAUAAGUAAUGAUGUUAUAUUCGACGAAAAUGGUACAUGGAAUUGGAAUACAGAAGAAAAAGGAAAAAGAUUAAUAGAUCAGGAAAUUGAAGAAACUGACAAUAUGCCAACUGAUAAUGACACUCCAUCACCAACGACUCCAGCGUUAGCAUUACCUGGUCCUUCAUCAUCCACUCCUUCAAGUUUCUCUAGUCCAGUCAGAUUAAGAUGACUUGAAGAUAUAUGCAAUGAAACAGAUGUGAUUGAUAGUGAGAAUGUACUUUGUUUACAUCUCAACGAAGAACCUUUAGCUGUUGAAGAGGCUUUACAAAAGGAUGUUUAGCGCACUGCAAUGAAUGAAGAAAUUAAGGCAAUAGAGAAAAAUAAGACGUGGGAACUAACUUCACUUCCUAUAGGACAUAAAGCUAUUGGAGUAAGGUGGAUAUAUAAGAUCAAACACAGUGCUGAUGGAAAAGUAAUACAAUAUAAGGCACGACUAGUCGCAAAGGGAUAUAAACAAGAAAAAGGUGUAGAGUAUGAAGAAGUAUUUGCACCAGUAGCUCGACUUGAUAUAGUGCGACUUAUUCUUGCAAUAGCUGCUUAUCAUGGUUGGCAGGUACAUCAAAUGGAUGUAAAAUCGGCAUUUUUAAAUGGUUUUCUUGAGGAAGAAGUUUAUGUUGAACAACCUCCUUGCUACAAAAUAAAAGGUGCGGAAGAUAAAGUUUACCGUUUGAACAAAGCUUUGUAUGGCUUAAAACAGACUCCACGAGUUUGGAAUACUCGUCUUGAUAAUUAUCUUCAAAAUAGUGGAUUUUGUAAAUGUCCUUAUGAGUAUGCGACAUAUAUCAAGGAAAACAAAAAUAAAAAAGGAGAUAUUUUGAUUAUAUGUAAUGUCUGUGGAUGACCUACUAAUCACAGGAUGUAGCAAAAAGGUGAUAAAUGAUUUUAAGAGUAUCAUGAUAAAAGAAUUUGAAAUGACAGAUUCGGGACUUAUGUCAUAUUUUCUCGGUAUUGAGAUGAAACAAGAUAAAAAUGGAAUCUUUAUCACUCAAAAGAGAUAUGCUGAAAAUAUUUUGAAAAAAUUCAAAAUGAAAAAUAGUAAAGAAAUUAAUACACCGAUUGUACGUGGAACCAAACUCAGCAAAAAUGAUACUGGAAAGAAAGUUAAUUCUACUCUAUUCAAAAGCCUAGUAGGAAGUGUUCGAUAUUUAACAGUGAGUAGACCAGAUAUUAUGUAUGGAGUCGGAUUAAUCAGCCGAUAUAUGAAAAAUCCAAUGGAAUCACACUGGCAAGUUGCAAAACGGAUUUUGAGAUAUGUAAAAGGUACCAUUAGUCAUGGAUUAUAUUAUACAAAGUCAAAAGAAUUAAAAUUACUUGGGUAUAAAGAUAGUGAUUGGGCUGGAGAUCAAUAAAAGAAAGAGCACUACGGGGUAUGUUUUCUUUAUGGGUUCUACAGCUGUGAGACCCCAGAUAGUCCUAUAUAUGAGAUAUAAUAGGGCUAAACUCUUAACCCGGCUUAAGCAUUUUGGGUGGUGGCAAGGCCCAAGAGGUUAAGAGAGUUAAGCGUGCUGGGACGGGAGUAGUCCUAGGAUGGGUGACCCCCUGGGAAGUCGGGGCGUCACAGGGAUUAAGAGAGUUAAGCGUGCUAGGACGGGAGUAGUCCUAGGAUGGGUGACCCCCUAGGAAGUUGGGGCGUCACAACAGCUUUCACAUUGAGUUCUAAAAAAUAGCAAAUUGUCGCCUUAUCAAUAUGUGAGGCUAAAUAUGUUGCUGCGGCAUCUGGAGUUUGUGAAGCAAUAUGGUUAAGAAACGUACUAUAAGAAUUAGGCUAUACUCAAAAUUCUCCUACCCCAAUAUAUAUUGAUAUUCGUCGAGCUAAGAAGGCAGAGUUCGUACACUUGGAACAGAGUAAUCGCACGGUUAUCGAGUACGAGCUCGAAUUUACUCGGUUAGAGUGCUUUGCUCCUAAACUGGUGGAGUCUGAACUGGAGUGAGCUCGAAAAUUUGAGGAAGGUCUGAGGCCAGACAUUAGGCAACUGGUUGUUGGUUACGAGCUGCCGACUCUAAAAGAUGUUGAAAGCAAGGCAUUGCUAUUAGAGAAAGAAUUACAAAGGACACAUAGUGCAUCGGCUAUUUCUGAGCCGAGUCGAACUCAGGCCCCGCCUUCUCAGUCUUCUUCAGGAGGUGCAUCCGGACGUCGAGACAAUCGGAAGAGUAGGAAUGGCGGCGCGAGACAAAAAGAUGGAGGUCGACCCCCACGACCGCAACCUAAAGAUAUGAAGUGUGACUAUUGUGGCGGACCGCAUCGUACAAAUAGAUGCCGGUGGGAGUCAAGCGCCUGUUUUGAGUGUGGUUCAUUUGAACAUAAAAUUACCAACUGCCCAGUCAAGAAACAAAAGCGAGAUGCAAACCACGAGCAAGGUGCGGGAGCAUCAACAAGCGGGAUGACCCCACAGGGGGUCCGCAUGUGCAAAGGUCGAUACAAAAUUGGAGAAACUCGAGUGGCUCGGGUCAGACACGCCAGGCAUGAGCUUAUGCUAUGACACAGCAGGAUGGAUCAGGAGGCGCGGACGUCCUGACAGGUAUAUUACAUUUCUCAGCCAUUUAUGCAUAUACCUUAUUUGAUUCUGGUGCCACGCAUUCUUUCAUAUCUAGUAAGGUUGUCUUAAAUUAUGGUUUGACACAUUUACCGUUGGGUUGUGAUUUGUGGGUUGACACGCCUGUGGGAGGUGUUAGGGUUUGCCGAGUGUGCAAAUCUUGUCCAAUAGAAGUCAACGGUCAUGUGUUGCCAGCUGACCUUAUCGUCAUCGAUAUGAAAGAGUUCGAUGUCAUCCUCGGGAUGGAUUGGCUAACGACCCAUGGAGCCACUAUCGAUUGCUCUGGUCGAAAGGUGGUGUUUUGUACUUCCUACAGAUAAGAGUUUAUCUUUGUCGGUGAUCGAAGCCGCUCUCCCCCGAGAAUUAUCUCAGCCUUGAAGGCUUCACUGUUUAUAGUGAUGCAUCCCUACGAGGUUUAGGUUGUGUCUUGAUGCAAAAUAAUCCAGUGAUUGCUUAUGCUUCUAGACAGCUAAAGCCAUACGAGCAAAACUACCCUACUCAUGACCUAGAGCUUGCCGCAGUAGUGUUUGCUCUUAAGAUUUGGCGUCAUUAUCUUUAUGGGGAGCAAUGUGAGUUCUACACCGAUCAUAAAAGCUUAAAAUAUCUUUUCACGCAGAAAGAGCUAAAUAUGUGACAGUGUAGAUGGCUUAAGCUUAUGAAGGAUUAUGACUGGACAAUCUUGUAUCAUCUCGGGAAAGCAAAUGUGGUAGCGGAUGCGCUAAGCCGUAAGGCCACUAGAAAUUUGGCUACACUGAUUACUGAGCAAAAGUAUCUUUUAGAGGAUCUACGAAAGAUAGACUUAGAGGUGACUAUUCACGAGCCGGGAGCUCGAUUGGCUCAACUUCGAAUUCGACCCACAUUAUUGGAUCAAAUUAAGUUGGCCCAGUCAUCCGAUGCUGCUCUUCAGAAGAUCCGAGCGGCUGUGGGGGCAGGUUCUCAGAUAUAAUUUCAUAUCCACGAGGAUGGGUCGUUAAGGUACGGUAAUCGACUAUGUGUUCCCAACGAUGAGGCCUUAAAGAGAAAAAUCUUGGAGGAGGCUCAUUCGUCAGCUUACACCAUACAUCCGGGUAUCACAAAGAUGUAUCGUGACAUAAGAGAGAUUUUCUGGUGGGCCGGCAUGAAAUGAGACAUUGCUCGAUUUGUUUCACAGUGUCUUGUAUGCCAGCGGGUCAAAGCUGAGCAUCAGAGGACAACGGGAUUAUUGCAGCCGCUGCCGAUACCCGAGUGGAAAUGGGAGAAGAUUACUAUGGAUUUUGUGGUAGGGUUACCACGUACACAGUUAGGGUCCGAUGCGAUUUGGGUGGUCGUCGACCGGCUGAUUAAGUCUGCACACUUCAUACCUAUUAAGGUGAGCUAUCCUUUGGAGAAACUUGCGGAAUUAUAUAUCAAAGAUGUGGUGAGACUACAUGGUGUCCCGGUAUCCAUCGUUUCGGAUCGAGAUCUGUGAAUCGUGUCGCGAUUUUGGCAUAGCUUGCAUGAGGCUUUGGGGACUCGCUUGGAUAUGAGUACGGCAUAUCAUCCUCAGAACGAUGGUCAAUCAGAGCGCAUGAUACAGAUCUUAGAAGAUAUGUUGCGAGCAUGUGUGAUUGACUGGGGUGGGUUGUGGGACCGGCACUUACCAUUGGCGGAGUUUGCGUACAAUAAUAGUUAUCAAGCCAGCAUACAGAUGCCCCCUUUUGAAGCUCUCUAUGGAAGAAAGUGUAGAUCGCCUAUCCACUAGGAUGAUGUUGGCGAAAGGCAGAUUCUAGGGCUUGAGCUGGUCAAGCAAGCUAAUGAAAAAGUGCGGGUUGUGCGAGAACGUCUACGAGCCGCACAGAAUAGACAGAAGAGCUAUAGUGAUAAUUGUCGGCGAAUGUUAGAAUUCACAGUUGGUGAUCACGUGUUCCUGAAGGUGUCGCCAACCACGGGGGUAAUACGGUUUGGGCUUCGAGGAAAGCUGAAUCCAUGUUACAUUGGACCUUUUGAAAUACUGGAAUGAGUCAACAACGUGGCGUACCGAGUAGCAUUACCGCCUUCUCUUGCUGGGGUGCAUAAUGUGUUCCAUGUGUCGAUGCUGCGAAAGUAUGUUCAAGAUCCAAAACACGUCGUCGACUAUUCUCCAAUUCAGCUGAGAGAGGACCUAUCAUACGAGGAGCAGCCUAUCCGGAUCUUGGAUCGAAGGGAAAAGGUUUUGCGAAAAAGAACGGUUCAGCUGGCUCAGCUGGUACGUGAGCUGUGGAGGCAUCACGCGUCGAAUGAGGCGACAUGGGAGCCAGAAGAGGAGACACGGAGCAAGUAUCCUCAGCUCUUUCCAGAUUCUGUUAAGUAAAUUUCGGGGACGAAAUUUUUUUUAAGGGGGGUAAGAUGUAAUACCCGUAUCUAAUUAAUUUAAAUUAGAAUUUAAAUAUGUGGCCAUGAUUGUAGUUUUGUGAUAAACCCGUUAUUAAAUAUUUUGAUUUAUUUGUGCUGUCGGAUUAAGCUGAUUCGGUUGGAUUUGAUUUUCGGAUUAAUUAUACUCUAAUACUAGUUAGAGUAGGAUUAAGAUUUAGCCCUAAUUAAUCACCUAUAAAUAGGUAAUUUAGGGAGGGUGUACGGCCAAAAAAAAGAUAUUAUAUAAUAAAUAUUGUUGCCGGAUUCUUUGUGCAAGCGUGGCCACCGGCGAGAGCAAGAUCCGACAAUCGUGGGGGAGAGGAAAAAGAACGAGAGCGAGGUGAGUCUCCAAUAAUUAGUUUUCUCGUUUUUUUUUUCUCUCUUUUCUUUCUUCUUCUAUCUCCCAAUCUUAUCCUCUCUCCUCGUUGUACCGCCGUCGCCGUCGCUGGAGUGGUCGCCGGCCACCUACGGACGUGUUGGGGUGAACCCCGUAUGGAGUAACCAUGGUUGGCCAUGAGAGGGGUAUGAGAGAGCUUCUUUGUUUGAGUUGGGAAGAAGAAGAGAGGAGAUGAGAUUAUUUUGGAUCUGGCUAGACCCGGUUCACGGUGAACCACGUUAAUUUUUUGCAUGGUUUAUUUUUACAUUUAGGUUUCAAUUUAUCGUAGCGAUAUUAGACGUGAUUAAGUUGUUAAUUAGAGUGUUUUGCCUCUAUUGGUUGAAUUAUAUUUAAUUGGAAAAGCUUCUGUUGCACGUUGCUGAUGUUGGAUCGGAUGCAGCGAAAUUUUGUUGCUUAUAAUGGCUUAAAAGAUCAGCCAAGGACCAAUCUUUAAAUAGCAGUUCUGGUUUUGGGGACUGAUCCGUAAAAGAGGCAUAACUUUUUGUCCGUAAUGCGGAAUUUUGUGAUUCAAGCGCUAUAGGACUCGUCUUGAAAAUACGGAUAAGAUCAUGUGGUCUAAUUAUCCUGAUUUAAUGUAUAAUUUUCGCAAAAUUUUUAAUAGUUAAAGGGCUUGUUUGAAAAUAUAUUUUAUUUGGGUCUUUUCGUCGUUGUAGGUGCUGAGACGGCCGUAGAACUUCAAUCUUAGAACGUGACGAAUUUGUGAGCACUAAUAGAGGCAAGUAAAUAGCUACUUUUUGCAAACGGUAGAAAAUAUGCGGAUCCGAGUGGGUUCAGGACAUAAUUAUUAUCUGUUUUGUUUGCUAAUUGUUGAUACAUCCGAGUGGAUUUUAUAGUUAUUAUUGACAGACAUGGUUUAUUUAUUUUGCACAUUAUUAUUAUCAUGUUCUAUUAUUGGAUAUGACUGUUGCGGUCGGAUUCCUCGGAGGAUAGGGAUUUAUCCGAUACGCGGUUUCCGAGGAGAAACGGCGCGUAAUUGUAGCUCUCGCGGUUAGAGCGACGGAGUGGAGAUGCUCUAAAUUAUGACCUUUGUGGUUUCAAAUUUAAAUUAUCGUUAUUCUUAAAGUAGAUUUCUUGUUAAGUAUUGCGCUUACUUUUGUUGUCUACUAUUUCAAGUACCGAGAGUCGGGGCGUGUGAGAUAAUUAGCCGGCGAGAACUCGUUAGAUAGAUUUCCAAUUUUGGACAUAUGAUUUAUUUUGACAUGAGAUUGAUUAUAUGGACAUUUAGUAGUUAUUGUUUAGUUUCGUUUUAAUUAAUAAAUUAUUUAGUUUUUAACCAAGAUGGUGGCUUUGGAUCAAUUUAAGGCCUUCCGUUUUCGGAGGUUCUUCCUCUAAAUUCAUGGCCGGUUGUUGCGGUUCAGAUCCGAGCAGUCAGAUCUGGGGCGUGACAAUGUUAUUCUUAAUCUAUUCUUAAUUUUUUGUACACAUGGCACCGUCUUGGGUCCCACCUGUAGUUGUUUCAUGUUGAACCCAUCUGGUGCUUUCUAUUCCUUUGACCGGUUCUUCAUUUAUCUUUUUAUACACAUGGACCCGUCUUGGGUCCCACCUGCCCUUUCAUAAUAACAACAGAUAAUGGACCACCAUUUACAGCUGAAUACAGCACUAGCUUUAUCCAAGGUGUGAUUGAAGAAUAAGGCGGGCCGAAAUGAAUUGGGCUCAAAGGCCCAGGUAAAACAGGCGAAGAAGGAAGGGAAAUCAUAGAAACAAUGAUAUCAUAAUCUCUAAGGAAUAACCGUUCUAGGGUUGCAGCAGAGAAUAUCAACCCGGUAUUUUCUUUUCCUCUUCAAAACGAGUUUUUCAGAAGCUAAACUAAUUACAGAAUUUGCUUCACUUUGAGAGCAAUCGAUCUCUAAACUGACGUCAUGGCAAAGUUUGUCAGAUUCUUUAUUUAUUUAUUUUUAAAACAGGUUCUUCGCUUUUUCUUUUUCUUUUUUUUAUAAAAAGUUUCUAUUGGUAUGGCUUGUAACACCCUCUUCUGAGUUCCAUGUAUGCAUCCCGUCGCUGCUUCGAUCCCUGCUACCCCCGUCGCUUCGAUAAGUAUAUUACUCCCUUCAACGCUUCGAUCUUGUCGGUUGCUCCCCCCUACUACCUGAAAAAUGGAUUUGGUUUAUGCUCGCUCCAUAAUCCUUCGUCGCCUCGAUUUUGUUUUUCUGUUGCUUCGAUCCCGUCUAUUAGUCCCUCGGCCUCUUCGAUCCCAUCGAUUGCUCCCCCCUACUGAAGAAAAAACAGGUUUGCUUUAUAUUUGUUUCCCCUUUCUUCGCCGGCUCGAUUUUCUUUACGAAGAGUUGUUUUGUGCCAUUUCCCUUACCUAUCGGAGCCUAUAUAAUGAGCCAUCUAUCAUUUCCCCCAUGCUGCCACGAUCAUCUACUCCCAUAAGAGAACUUUGCACUAUUUUGUUUGUUUUUUAUUAUGUACUCCAAAAUUAUUUUAACAUCUUUCAUUUAUUUAAAUGUUUUCCACGCACAAUCAACUAAGUUUUUGAUCAUUUAAAUUCAUUUAACUCUUUUCUCUUUUUGUAAUCGGUGAUGAUGACAACAUGAAGCUGUUAUAAUUAAAUAUCAACAAAGUUUUUACAUUGUAGAACAACUUGGAUGGCAAUUGCAGAACAAUUGCAAUCUUUGAGCUACCCCUAAGUCAUUUCGAUCAUAUCUAUUGCUCUCCCUACUGACAAAAAAAAAGGUCCUGGUUUUUAAUCAUCCUUUGCUGCCUCGGUUUUGUUUUCCUAUUACUUAUAAAGGAUUGUUUAAUGUCGUUUUCCAUACCUAUCGAAGCCUAUAUAAUGGGUGCCUAUCAUUCGCCCCUAUAUUGCCGUGAGCAUAUGCUGCUAUAAGUUGAUUAUUGAUAAUACUCAUAGAAUGUCUGAGCCGAUAUUAAUUUUCGAUUUUUAAUAGUCUCCUAAUUUUUCUUUUACUAUUAGUUUCACUUCUUUUUGUUUUCAUGUACAUAAAUUGUAAAUAUUUUUCUAACUACAUAAGUUUACAUAUAUGUCUCUUCAAGAAAUUGUUAAAUUUUUAGAUUCUUCUAUUAUUUUUGUUAUUCUCCUGUUGCUACCGGUUAUGUUUAUUCUUCCUUUUUCAUAAGUAUUUCCAAAUAGACUCAGCCUCAUCUAUCCUUCCUUCCAUAUUGAAGGCCAGUAGGAGUGUAUCAUAUGUUUCCAAUGUGAGUACUUGGCCUUUGCUCAAUAACCACUUUGUAACCUAGAAACAAUGCAUAAAGAGAGAUCAGUAUGUUCUCCAUCAACAAAUAUGUUGAUUUUCUUUCAGCUCUUUUCAAUGCCUCAUACUAAUAAACCUAUUUGUAAUUUUCGAUAAAAGGCUAUUAAACCUCUUUAUGGCUUAAAUAAUGAUGGUUAUUCAUUCUGUUGAAACAGAACAAUUGAUUAACCUCAAAACAAAAAAUUUCACACCUGGAUGAUCCGCAACCAUUGAUUUCGUCUUCUCAAGAUUUCUAAAGCUUUUGCAGCAGCAAUAACAGGAAACUCAGUCUCCGAAGCAGUCCACCUAUCCAAUGCUCCAUAGAUUACUUCUUUGUCAUUUGGAAGUUUUGAAACCUAGCAUAAACAUUUUCAAAACUGCUUUAGAAAGAUAAAUUGAUUUAUUUCGUUCCUUUCCUAAGAAACUUAUCGAUGAUGUUAAAAACCAGCUGCAACAAAACAUAAUGAAACCAAGGCUACAGUUGUAUAAAGCAGGAGAAAGGCAACUUUUUCUCGAAGAAGCUUUUGGAAGAUAAGAUAGCAAUAAUGCCUGCUAUUCAUGUCUUUGUUGGGCAGAGCACCUCUUUGCUGGAGAUUUUCCUGCUGUAUUUUAGAUUUUCUGCUUAAUAGUUUAAACGAGGCAAUUUCUACAAUCCUUAAUCUUUCCAGGAGUCUAUUUUAUAUUAUGAAAUAAUGGUGAAUGAGUAUAUUAUUAGCUAAACAUUUCUUUUCACAGUUUUCACUCAACAUCUUCAGUUUGCUUUGUGUUUUGCCCGCCGCAUCGCACGGGUUACUAAUAUUAUGGAUGCAUCCUGUUGAAUGUAAUGAUUGGAGAGUCGACUUAUUGACCGACAGUAGUUAUGAAAUAUAUGGUGUGGACUUGUUGAUCAUUGCAUGAAGUAGUUAACAUAAUUAACUAUUUUUUGAAAAGGCAUGUCUCUUGGGUUUUAAAAAAAAAAGGGACUUGAAAUAUGAAAAGACAUGUCUCUUUGUUUAAAAAGAUAUUUCAAAUUAAAAGGAUGUGUCUCUUGAAUUGGGACACUUUAAAGGGAUGUGUCAUUUGGUUGUUUUUGAAAGUUUUUCAUGCCUAUAAAUAGUGAAUGAAUAGUUGAUUUUUCUUAAAACAACUUAACAUUAAAGAAAAGAGAAACAUGGAGAAUAAAGUGAUAGUAAGAGAGUCCUACAAAAAUCUACUUCAAGAAUACUAUCAAAAGAUGAAGAUGUCGCUGCCACAAUAUCGCACUUAUCAAGAAGGACCUAUUCACAUUUCGGAAUUUUAUUUGUUUGUCGAAUUCGGAAAUUUCACUUAUAUGGGCAAUGUAAAAAAAUCAAAGAAGGAUGUGGAACAAGAUGCGGCACAUUUUGCUUUUAUGAGUACCACAUGUAUGGUUUCUCUUGAUCAAAGAAAUUUGUAUUUAGAGAAACUUGCAAAAAAUUUGGAAAAAGAAAAUAUGGCAUUGAAUUUGGAGAAUAAAUCCCUAGAGAAUGCAACCAACGAGCAGGCCUCCAAAAUUAGGAGUUUGAUUUCAGACAAGAUAGUCUUAUAGGAAAAACUCCAAGAUUAUGAAGACCCAAUCGAAGAAGACAUCGAUAGUUUUGCAUAAACAAACUUAAGGGGGGAUGUUAGUUUAUAAGAUUGUUUUAUUUGUUUAUUUUUAUUUGAAGAGUUGUGUUUCUUUUGAAGGGGUGUGUCCUUUUAUAAGGGUUGUGUCUUUUGGUUUAUGGUCAUGUCCUUUAGUGAAAGGUUAUGUUUUUUCAUGAAGAGUUGCGCCGUUUCAUGCUAUAUAAAUAGAGAGCAUGUAAUUUGUUGUGUAGAGUUGUGAAUGUUGGCUUAAAUGGGCCAGCAUCCUGCCCUAUGGCGGGAGGCCAUGUGGGCCGAGUUAUGUUCGAAAUGACAUGAGGCUGGGUUGGGCCGAGUCAUGUUCAAAGUGGCGUGAGGCCAGGUGGGCCGAGUCACAAUCGAGACCCUGGUUGCGUAUUUCUAACAGCUCGAGCUUUUGGGAUUAAUGGUUAGCGCCAACGAUCCGACAAGUGGUAUCAGAGCCAGAGGUCACGGGUUCGAUUCCUGCAUGCUGCAAAUGUGUGCAGGUGCUGGAGGGGGGAUUGUUCGCUUAAAUGGGCCAGCAUCCUGCCCUGUGGCGGGAGGCCAUGUGGGCCGAGUCAUGUUCGAAAUGGCGUGAGGCUGGGUUGGGCCGAGUCAUGUUCAAAAUGGCGUGAGGCUGGGUUGGGCCGAGUCAUGUUCGAAGUGGCGUGAGGCCAGGUGGGCCGAGUCACAAUCGAGACCCGUGGGCGUUGUUUCUGUACGCUUUAAGUGAAUUGGUUGCGUAUUUCUAACAGCUCGAGCUUUUGGGAUUAAUGGUUAGCGCCAACGAUCCGACAGUGAAGUGUGGAUCAAAUUGUAUUAUUCAGUUGUAGUGUACUAAAGUUUAUUUAUAUUAAUAAAGUUUGUUAUUCUACUGAUAAAAACUUUUGUAAUUCAUUUAUAUAUUUGCCCACCAACACAAAUGGGUGCAAAAUCAUGCAAACUUUUAUGAGAUUUUCAUCAUCGCUAUCGUCAUCAUCAUCGCAACAUUAUCAUCUCCAUUUUCAUACGACCUUUGUAGGUUUUUUCUUUGAAUGGUGAUUAUGGGCAGUUAUCAAUUUUCAAUGAUCAUAUUGGUUAGUUCAAUUAUACAUUUCCCUACCCAAAAAAUAAAACACACUAGAGUUUUUAUUUUCCAAACUCCUUUCUUCUUCCUCUUCAAUAUUUUUUUUUCUUCUAUUAUUUAUCCGUCGCAUCGCGCGCCUUACUACACUAGCAGUGAAUUAAUAUCAAAUAAAAGAGCUCAUUAUCUUCGUCGAGAUAAUGAGUAUUAAUGCGAAAUAUCGGUGCAACAAAUCCGUUUGCCGAUAACUAGUUUGUGUGAUGUAGCAAUUGAAGCCGUAUUAGAUUUUCACUCUCAGCUAUCUUUCAUUUGGAACCAAUUAGCUUUAACUAAGCCCAAGUGGACAGCUGAUGCUGAUCUUUACUAUCAAUACUGUGAAGAAACUCAACUUAUCCGAUUUCUCAUGGCUUUGCAAGAUGAUUACGAAUAUGUGUGAAUCUCUAUUCUUUAUCGCACACUGCUCUCCAUUGUUGUUGCAGCUCUUUCAGAGUAUGCAAAGAUACUGUCAAUUUUAAAAGUUCCUCAGUCCUGCCCACUUUUGCCUCCUCCCUCGUUAUACAAAGCCAUUUUCUGAUGUACAUCAUGACUUGCGAUCAAACCCUACUACAACAACCUCACGUCCACCGCAUGACUUGUGACAAGUGCAUGCGAUGCAACUACUGCAAAUAGUUUGAACAUACUGCUAAAUUUCUACACGUCCUGUGAGGGACUCAGCAUGAAAUAGUGGAAAUCGGAGCACUUACGUGCAAAAUAUAUAGCAUCUUUGUAUAUAUGCCAACCUAGGGCUUUCAUGAUCCGAAACCCUAACCCUAACCCCAUUGUACUCAGCUGAGACCCCAGCCGUCUCCUCUCCCUCUUCCGCGUGCGCCGUGCACUUCCUGGCCGCCAGUGACCAUGCUCCAACUGGCUAAACGCUGCCAGCAGCCUCCUGGCGUCCUUCUCUUUCUUUUCCACCACCCAUCCACCUUCUUUUCGGGCCGAGGUUAGGUAAGGGAGCAUCCUCUGCUCUCAGGCUCCCCUCUGGCAUCAUCCCGAAACUCCGGCGAGUCCCUUCCGUCGAUCGCAGCUGCCCCUGAGUGCCACCGUCGUGGCUGCUGCAAACCUGUUGCCAGCCAGGGCUGGUGCAGUCGCACCGAGCCACGCCGCCUUCCCAUCCACCAGCAGCCAUCAUCCUCCUUUUCUCUCGGUCCCAGGGGAAGCUCGUGACCCUUCCCCAGCAUUCCCGGCCGUCGUUGUGACCGGAGAAGGGAUCUUAAGCAUGAGCUCUCUUGUGCGGGCUCAAUUUUGUCCCGCGUCGCCACCGCCGCCUCCCGCCACCGACUAGGGUGAGCGUCGACCCUCCCCGGUCGGUCGCACCCCCUGCCACCAGUGCACUCGCCGCCAAGCCGCCGUCGGCCAGGCUCAGCCCCUUUGCUCCCAGUCUGCCCGAUUAGCGAUGUUUUAGGGUGGUUGUCACUAUUUCGGCAACUCGAGGCGAUUCUGACGCCUCCAGACAUGAGCACGACGACCCCUGGUCAAUGCUGAUCACAGUGCUCACCUCAUUUGCUGUCGGUGAGGCUCGAAUCAACGUGUUCGGCCUAGUUGCUCUCCGUGUGCAUCAUUCGCUGACGUUCGGCUCACUCUCGCGCAUCCCAAAACCACCUGCGGUACUCCGAACAGCGAGCACGGCCUCCGCCUUAUCGAGACCUAUCAGCCAGUGUCUCGUCUGACCCUAUAAACCCUUAGUUAGUGAUAACGAACCAUAAUUCUCCUCUAAUUGCAUAUAUUAAUGUGAUAACAUGUAAUAUUAGGGGCUUUUGUGCAACUUGUUGCUUCACGACUACUGUGGGCAGUGUGUUUAUGUGGUUGAUGACCUCUGGACUGAUCGUGCAAGGUCUAAAGCCCUUCGCGGAGACCGAAUAUCGGUUUCGGUGAGUUUUUCGGCAAAAUUCGCCAAUGGAACGUGGUUUCGGGUCGAAUUUAUGUGACGCUGUUGGAACACCCGGAAUGCUGUCACUAAGCCUUGUUGGCUGGUCACCUACAUCGUCUUGAAUGUCCGGAGAGACGGGUGAGUGGCGAAGGGUUUCAAUGUCGAAAUUGACACUUCCGGAACCUGGAUCAGAGCGAUUAUCCGACGAUAAUAGUUUCGACGUGUGACCUUGGUGUUUGCUGCCAGGACAUUCGAAAUGAUGUGUUUUGAGGCAGUGAGUGACUCGUGACAUGAGUCGGUGAGUUUUGGGACACUUCGUGGGUCCCAGCGACAUUCCGAUGCUAUUUUUGGGACUUCCGGCGAGUUACGGAGAUCGAUUUUUGGAAACCGAUUUCAUGAAAAAUUUUGAGGAUUGUGAAUAUUGUGUUUUGAGCCGUUUGGGUUGGACUUUGACUCUGUGGACCCUUCAAUUGACUAUCCUACACAUCGUAGAGGCAGAUCCGUUAGUGAUACAAGUCGGUACUUCUAUCCGAAGUCGGUCUAGUGGUGCACGCUCGGUGACGUUCCCUCCACCCUCUCUCUUUAUGUUCCUCGCAUUACCUAUAAUUUUGAGCCUAGCAUCAUAUGACUUCAUUACAUUAUACUCUACUAAGUUGUUUUUGCAUUAGAUUAUCAUGAUCUAGGAGUAGAGUGGUUGUUGAGUAUAUCUGUGCGUGAUAUGCAACCCAUGUGCUUCUAUGUUUCUAACCAUCUAUCUAUUUUGAUGGAUGGUUAGGACGGGAGAGAGAAGAGAAAUUGGGAAGAAAUUGAGUUUCUUAAUUUCUCUUCUCUUUGAAUUUCUCCCUACUUUCUCGUCUCUCUUUCACUCUAACCAUCCAUCAAAAUUAAUAGAUGGUUAUAAAUUUAUGAGUAUAAAAGCUGUUGUGCUCCUAAUAGCAUAGUAAUCCCACUACUGAUUGUAUUUAACUUUGAUAGUAUAGAAGCCUAGUUUUAUAUAUAUACAUAUAUAUAUAUAUACAUAUCUAUACUAUUUAUAAGAAACGAAGUUUUAAAAAAAAUUUUCUUUCCCAAAAUGUCACUCCUUAUUAAUAUAAUUCUUAUCACAUACUAGCAUUAUCAUUCAUUUAAUUUUGAUGCCUAUAUAAUAUUUUUAUUCCAUCUUAUAUAAUACUUAAUCUAAUAAUAAUUUUUUUUAAGCUUCAUACUUAUCUAAUAAUAUUUAUCUUUCGACGCUUCAUAAAAUAUUGUCAUCUUUUUAAUUUUUAUAAUAUACAUCGUUAUCCAAUUAUAAUAUCUCCUUGCCUAUCAUAUGCGUGAUUAAUCUCCUUCACUACAACAAAAACGGUCUAUAGCGACACUUUUAAAUGUCGGUACAGGUCAAAAAAAAGUGUUGCUGGCUAAAUUGCCGACACUUUUAAAAAGUGUUGCUAUAUGUGGGGUCGUUAGGUAUAUAGUGACAGUUAAAGAAUGUCGCUAUAACCUAAAAAGAGUGCUGCUAAUUUACCAAUACUUAUUUAAGCAUUUAGCAACCGCCGGAACUCUACCUUGUUGGCUACGGUGGAGGAGGAGGACGAGAGGAAGGGAUCUUCAUCUAGGAUUUCAGUUGAUUGAGUGAGGGGAGAAGGGGAAAUGGUAAUCGAUUUUUCUUUUCUUUUUCUUUUCUGUUUGUAAUCGGAUCGAAUGGACUGGGUGGGGUGGGUUGAGUAGAGUAACCUUUUAUUUUUUUUUGGAUUGGACUUUAUAUUUAGACAUUUGUAGUUUUUUUUAAAAGUUUUGGCAUAAAUGGGACACUUACACAAAAGUGUCCCAAACAUAUGUCCCUAUAACUUAAUUCUGUUGUAGUGAGCUUCCUCCUAUUCUCUUAUAUUCCUUCCAUACAUUAUAUUCGCUUUUCUCCAAUGUACUUUUUGGAUUUUAGACAUCUUCGGCUCUUCCGAAGCUUACCCACUCGACAGUUAGUCGAUUCUGAAUGAAGUCCAACUCUCGGAUUUCGAGAAUUCACUUCCUUACAUUCGAUGUCGAAAUUGACACUUCCGGAACCCGGAUCAGAGCAAUUAUCCGACGAUAAUAGUUUCGACGUGUGACCUUGGUGUUUGCUGCUAGGACAUCUGAAAUGAUGUGUUUUGAGGCAGCAAGUGAUUCGUGACAUGAGUCGGUGAGUUUUGGGACACUUCGUGGGUCCCAGCGACAUUCCGAUGCUAUUUUUGGGACUUCCGGUGAGUUACGGAGAUCGGUAUUUAGAAACCAAUUUCAUGAAAAAUUUUGGGGAUUGUGAGUAUUUUAUUUUGAGCCGUUUGGGUCGGACUUUGACUCUGUGGACUUUUUUUAACAAGUUAAUCAUAACCGUUCAUUUUUUUCAAAUAUUUUUAACAAAUUGAUCAUAAUUAUUUGUAGAAUUGAAUUUAUAGAUGGAUAUGGAUGUUAUAUUUUUAACAGAUUUAUCAUAACUGCUCGUUCUUACUUGAGACAUUUUUUAACAAAUUGAUCAUACCGUUUGCAGGGAAUAUUCUUUUAUUUCUUUUUAAUUUCGUCUGUCAUUCCUGUAUGUUUGUAUAUAUAAUAUAGAUUGAUGAUAAUCGUUUGUUGUGAACAUUUUUUUAUUCUUUUUUGAUUUCGUCUAUUAUUUCUAUACGCUUUUAUAUAUAGUAUAGAUGUAUACUAGUUCGGCUACUAUGGUAUCAAUAGCGCCAAACGUUCAGUGCUACAAGUUUUCUUUCGUUAUAUUUACUCUUUUGAUUAUUUCCAUCCGUUAGAUCAUAUUAUUUAUCCAACCGCCCACUCAAUCCUAGAAUGUCAUUAUCUUCCAACCGCCCACUCAAUCCAACCGCCCACUCAAUCCUAGAAUGUCAUUAUUAUUUACUCUUUUGUAGCUGCACAUUCCGUCAUCCAACGGCCAAAAACCUAAUUGCACUAAUGAUUUGAUGCUAUUAGUGGUAUAAUUAAUAGCUUAGUUUAUAUAUAUAUAUAUAUAUAUAUAUAUAUAUAUAUAUAUAUAUAUAUAUAUAUAUAUUAUAUAUAUAUAUAGUAUAUAUAGAUGAGGCUACUAUCUAUCGGAAGCACGGACCUUCCGUGCUUCCAGCUCGUUUUCGAUGUUGCGAUUUUUGAAUCGCGAUCGGCUCCGUUAAACUUGAUCUAGAGUAUUUGAGUACUAGAAAAUAAAUUUAUUAUUUUUUGAUAUCAUUUGCCUAGUGAUCGAAUGGGCUCAAAAUCAACAAAUUUCAAUGGCCGUAGUGAGCCGUUUGCAAGUUUAACGGUUAGAAAAUAUCCAAUCACGUGAAAUUUGAUAGAAAAUUCUCUUUAUACUAUAUAAAACAAGAUCAAUAUCUUUGAUUUAAAAUUUAAUGUCAUAUUAUUGCAUUUUGUAACAUUUUUAUUUUCAGCCGUUGAUUUUUGAGCCCUUCGUUCACUAGGCAAAUGUAUAUCUAAAAUCAUAAAAUUUAUUUUCUAGGUACUUAAAAAUACUCUAGAUCAAGUUUAACAGGGCCGAUCGAUGAUUCGAAAGUCGAACACAUCGAAAACGAGCUGGAAGCACGGAAGGCUCGUGCUUCGAUAGCAUAGUACCUCACUAUAUAUAUAUAUAUAAUAUAUAUAUAUAUAUAUAUAUAUAUAUAUAUAUAUAUAUAUAUAUAUAUAUAUAUAUAUAUGUAUGUAUGUAUGUAUGUAUGUAUGUAUAUCGGCUAUCGUGCUUGUAAAAGCACCAAGUAUUUGGUGGUUGUAAUUUUUUCACCGUUAGAUUUAUCCUUUUGAUCAUUUUCACCCUUUAGUUUAUACUAUUCAACUAACCGCCCACUCAAUUCUAGGGUACCGCUAUCAUCCAAACCGCAAACCUCUUAAUCCAAGGGCAACAAAUCUAGAAGCACCAUUUACUUUGUACUUUUAAAAGUAUAGAAGCUCAAUUCUACACAUACACACGCGAGCUGCUAUAAUUUUGAAAGUAUAAAGUAGUUGACAUUUUUUAUUUUUUGACCCUUGUGAGAUCCCUGGUGUUUGACUGUGGAGACUUGUCGACAGCUCUGGAGAGUGUCGGGACAAGUCCGAGUCGCGUUGGCGUCAAAUGGACGCAAAACGGGCUCCGUGCGACGCGAGGGCAACUUUCAGCGAAGAAAAUCUGCAAACUGCAGUUUUUCUGCUUGCUGUACCGGUACAGCCAUCAAGGUGUACCGGUACACUGCACUGGACCGCGCGUGGGUUGCUCUCGGGUUGGCUCCUGUACCGGUACGCGAUCCCGUGUACCGGUACACCAGAGUAGGUGAGGGGCUUUUUGGUAUUUUUACAUUGCCUCGUUUGUAUCUCCCCUCACUCCCCUCUAUAUAGUUUCGUGUAGGGAGAGAGAGAGAGACUUUUUGCUGCCAUUCUCCAUCUCUCUCUCACUCUUCCAUCCGGUUGAAGGCAAGGUGGAACUCGGGUGGAGUUUUGUCGCCGACGUCGCGCCGCGAAGCCGCUAGAGCUUGUGUUGACGCCGGGGCUUUGCGAGGAGGCCGGGCGAGCGGAGGUUUUCGCCGUCCUUGCUGUCACACAGGUACUUGGUGUUGUCGAGGUGAGUAUUCAGCAUUUCUUUGGAUUUUUGGGCAAAUUCUUACGACUUCAACUCGAGGAGAUGUUGUUUGCUGAAUUUCACCGUCGACUGUUUGUAUUUUGGUUCGUUCUCGACGUAGGAGCAUCGGAUUGUGAAUUGCUAUUGGAUUCAUGCAUUUAAUUUGUUAGUGAGAUCGAUCGAUCUAUUCAUUGAUCAGGCAUCUUNNNNNNNNNNNNNNNNNNNNNNNNNNNNNNNNNNNNNNNNNNNNNNNNNNNNNNNNNNNNNNNNNNNNNNNNNNNNNNNNNNNNNNNNNNNNNNNNNNNNGGCUUAUUCCUUUUGAAAAAUAAUUUGAAAUAUUUUAAAAAUAUGGCAACAUCAUAUUUCUUUAUCUCUUACCUUAUUGAUAACUGGUUCUCGAAGGAAGGUCCCAAUGAAAACACGAUUUUUUCCCUUUCUCCCUUUCCCCCUUUCUCCAUUUCUAUAUUUAUUUUUUCCUUCUUUUUUUUUAAAAAAAUAACUUUUUUUUAUCCAAGAAAAGCCGCAUGUAAUUAAAAUUAGUCUAUACUAAUAUAAAAGCUAACUCAUAGCUUGUAUCACUAGAGAGUUGAAUGUUGCCACCAAUUGGCUCAAUGUCGAUGAAAUUUAUAUAUAGCCAAGUUAGAGACAUCGACCUACAUUUAGCAAUGAUUUUAGAAUGAGCAUGUUGCAUAAAAAAGUACUUUUUGGCAACUUUAUAGUUGAAUUAGCCCUUGAACUUUUUCUCUACUAGGAGUGUUGAAUUUCUUUUAUACAAUAUAAAUAUUCUAUUUCAUCUAUAGUUAUCAGCUCUUCUUUUGCCCCUUUGCAAGUAUCACUGUUGGCUCAGUAUGCUUAUUAUUAAUAGCCCUGUUCUUUUUCAUCUGCCUUCUUCGCAAAAAUCGUUGUGACUUGAUACUAUUUUCCAAGAAGAUGUCGGAAGAUGAACGAAGGGUUGAGGCCAUUCUACAAAAUUAUGAGCUUAAGGCUCCAAAAAGAUACAAGUAUUCACAGAUAAAGAAAAUAACACAAAGAUUCAACAAUGAAAUCGGAAAAGGUGGAUUCGGUACUGUCUUCAAGGGUAAGCUCAUUGAUGGCCAAGAAGUAGCCGUGAAAGUCUUACACCAGUCCAAUGGAAAAGGUGAGGACUUUGUUAAUGAAAUUCUCAGCAUUAGCAAAACAUCCCACAUAAAUGUUGUAAUGUUGCUAGGCUUCUGUUUUGAGGGGUGCUAUAGAGCUCUUAUCUAUGAAUUCGUGCCAAAUGGAACAUUAGCUGAUUUUAUUAACAAAGACAAAUCUAAUAUGGAAGCUUCAAUUCUUUGGGAAAGAUUACAUGACAUUGCAGUUGGCAUAGCUCGAGGACUAGAAUAUCUACAUCGUGGAUGCAGUGCCCAGAUAGUGCACUUUGACAUCAAACCUCAUAAUAUCUUACUAGACAAAAAAUUUCGUCCUAAAAUUGCUGAUUUUGGGCUGGCCAAAUUAUGCUCUACACGAAAGAGCACUCUUUCGAUACAAGGCAAGGGAGGAACUCCAGGAUAUAUUGCUCCUGAAUUAUGGUUUGACAACUUUGGGCCUAUCUCUAGUAAAGCUGAUGUGUAUAACUACGGUAAGAUUGCAUUUGAAAUGGUUGGAGGGAGGAAAAUUUUUGACAGCAAAAUAGAUUCUAGUAGUGAAUACUGUUUCACUUAUUGGGUGUAUAAUCAUCUGAAUCAAUGUGGCAACUUAGACGCUUAUGGAGUUACUGAGGAGACAGAAGAAGUUGCGAAAAAAAUGAUAUUAGUUGGGCUUUGGUGUAUUCAAAAAUUGCCUGCCGAACGGCCAUCAAUGAGUGAAGUUGUAGAGAUGCUCAAAGGUCGCAUAGAAGAUUUGCGGAUGCCACCAAACCCAAAGUGGUUUUGACAAAAACUAAAAGAAAACUUCCAAUAUACUCCGAGGAAAAGCUAGGUUCCAGACUGCCUUCCACGGUAAGCUCUCUGAAAAGUAGUUGUAAAGUUCUUAAAUGAAUCCAACAGAAAGAUGAGGACACUAUUACUAAAAUUCUCAUCAUUAACAGAACUUCUCAACAUGUUAUUGUGAUAAUGUAGUUGGGCAUCUCUUCUGAGGGUUCCUGGAAUUCAUCCCAAAUGGAAUCUUGGAUGAUUUUAACUAUAAAAACAUAUCUAUAAAGCACGCAAUUGCCAUAGCUCGAGGGCUAGAGUAUCCAGAUCGCAUAAGCAAUAGCACAUAGUGCACUUUGAGAUCAAACCUCCUAAUUUCUUAACUGCAAAGAAUUUGGUUCACAAUUGCUGAUUGUGUUUUGGUUGAAUUAUGCGAAUUUUUUUUAUAAAUAAUCCUAUCGAUUUUUAUAAUUAUAAAAAUAAUUUUUUUAAAAAAUAAUUAUAAAAAUAGACCUCUAAAUGCGGUGAAUGAUUCACCGCAUUCAUUACUUCUCAUUAGGAGUAGAAAAAGAAUAAAAGCGGUGAACCAUUCACCGCUUUUACCAUCGUAAAAAUAUAAAAAGAAACGAGAAAAAGAAAAAAAGCGGUGAAUGGUUCACCGCUUUUAAAAGCAGUGAACCAUUCACCGCUUUUAUAAGACCAUAUUUAUAAAUAAAAAUUUAACAUGUCUAUUUUUAGAAUAAAAUUUUAGGAGAAGACUAUUUGUAAGAUAUUGGAUCCUCGGUGCAUGCAAAUCUGAACUUUAGUCGAAAUUGACCAAAGUGCAGAGUUGCUUACUUUGGAACGAUUCGGAAAAGCCCGAAUGCGUCGAAAUGGCUUCUAAGGGUUGUAGGACCUUGGUGACCACCUUGGGAAGAAAUUCUGCAUUUUUCGCAGUUGGGGUUCUUACGGAGUCUGGACCCUGUGCAGGGUCCAGACCCCGUAGCCGAAAACUGCCCAGCCCGGGCAGUGAGCAACUUGCAUUGUUUGAGGGGUUUCUUGCAAUUUGGCAUAUAUGAGAGGGUAUAGAAGUGAAGGCCUUCUUCGUCUCCUCUCAUUUCUCACACUUGAGGUAGGUUUAGAGCUCUCUCUCUCUCUCCUAGGGUGGAUCUAAGAGGAGGAGUUGGUAGAGGAAGGUGCUAUAAGGUGGGUUUUCAUCUUCUUCUUCUUCCUUGGCACAAGAGAAGGAGCUUGUGAGAUAAGCUCUUGAGCUUUCAUGGUGAUUUCUUAGGGUUUGAUUCUUAUACUCUAGGAAUGGGUUUAGAUGAAUCCCUAGAUGCUAAUUAGUUGCUAUUUGCUUGAAUUAUAGCUUUGUUUAGUGUAAUCUUGCAAAUGGUGGAUCUAGGGCAUAGAAAUAGGGUUCUUGCUUUGAGCUUGGGUUUGAUCUAAAUUGGACUCAUAUAGACCUAAUUGCUAGGUAUUCUAACGCGUCGGUGGCCUCGGUUCGGCAAUCCGUCGAGGCUACGCGAAGAUAUCGGAGAAAAGGACCGUUUCGGCUUCGUUUCUGCCUGGAAAGCCGAGGCGGCGUCCAAAAAUCGCGAGAUUGGGUUUCUAGUGUCGCGGCAUCACCUAGAGGUGGGGGGUGCUAUCCGGAACAUCCGGGUUUCUUUCUAUGUCUUAGUUGCUUCUUUGGCUAUUCUAGUUCAUGUAGUAUGCAUGCAUUAUAGAGUAGGUUGUUAUUUAUUCCUUUCCUUACUUGCUCUCAUGAGAUUGAUAUAUUUAUAUCUAUAUGUGAAUGAGAUGGGACAUUGUGCUAUGUGAUGAGAGGAUUGGAUGUGGACAAGGGGCUCUAUAGUGGCAUGAUAACAAACUUGAAUAUUAUGGCAUUGGAAAGUGCCAAUUGACAUGUGAAUGUGGGAAAUUUGACAUUGUGGCAUUAGCUAGAGACAAUGUGAACUUGUGGCAUUAGCUAGAGACAAUGUGAUUACUCGGAUAUGAUGAUUGGGAUCGGUGUUGUUCCCGGAUUUGAUUACUACUAGUUGGUAGAGUAUCCUCAGGCUAGAGGAUUGGAUCAUGCUCACAUUCGUCUGUUAGCUUGGCAGUGGUAGCUCCACCCAAGCUGUGGUCUUUGAAGUACUUCAUGGUUAGGGACAAACGUAGUUGUCCUGCAGACGGCGCCGGGUGAGAGUACCGGACGUCUCCUCACAUUGCAGGGUUGGUUGUGUGGUCGGGGCUUAACCUUCGGGUGGACCGGCAGGAUUGGGUUAUGGAAACAAGGCAAGUGGCAUGCAUCAUGAGCAUACUAGUUGGUAUUACUUGUUUACCUUACUUGCUUCUUACUUCAUAUUGCAAAGGCAUAGUAGCAUGCUAGAUGUUUAUAUGUUUAUUGCUAACUCUUUACUACUUAUGCCUGCUUAGACCUAGUGGGAAAAUUAGUGGCGUCGGUGGCCGAACCUACUGGGAACUAUUUGUUAGUUCUCAUCCCACUUUGUUGCAGGGCCGAGUUCGAGUGCGCCGGUCGAGGACCGCGGUAAGAGCAUAGCGCCCUAGCUAGCUAGCUACCUCCUAUGUGCAUUAGAGUCAAUACCAUUUUGAGAGAUAAUGUAUUGUGGUUUGAGAGACUUAUGUAUUUUGGUGAGGUUACAUGUAUUAUGAGCAAAAUGAUGUAUCUAUUUGAUGCAAGAUGUAAACCAAUGAUGUAUGGUUUGGUGAAAAGAAUGUAAAUUGGUUGAAUGCAAUGUAAUAGUUAGACUCUCUCUCUUGUGUUGCUUGUGUAGUACUUGCUUAUUAUACUCGCAAUGUUCAUGUAUGUUGUUUAAGUUACCUGGGCAACUUGAUGUACAUGACCUUGUUGUUAGCCUUGGGCGGACAGGAGAGACUCUGUCCGUUCGGCGACUGUCGAGAAGCCCGAGCCGACCAAAUUGGCUGUCGCGGGCUCUGACACUAUUGCACUAAAAAACCCGAAUUAUGCUCUAUGGGAGAGUGUUCUUUCGGUGCAAGGAAAAAAACCAUGAACCUAUUAUUUUCAUCGAAGGUGAAGUUCAGAUUGAAGUAGACUUUCGGAUAAACUAGAGUUCGGGUAAAAAUUGCUUUCAUUCUGCUAUUUGUUUGUAUACUUGUAGAACUGAAGUUUUUUCAAUUCUAUUGUUUGUUUGACAAAGGUGAAUAACAUAAAAGCUAGAGGCAUGAAAGAUGGGUUAAUAUUUAUUUAUUUUUUCUCACUUGUUUUACUUAAUAAUUGAUUUCGUCUUGGGGUGGGCCGAAGUAAGGUUUUCUUGAUAUUUUGAAUUUUGACCCAAGUUGAAGUCAUAGUAAGCCAAAUAAUGAAGUGGGUAUCUGCAGUUGAAAAUAAUUUCACUUCUCUCCACUUUCGGUAACACAAACACAACCCAAAAAAAUGUGAUGAUUUAAUAAAUUUAGAAAGCUUAUGGACUUGAAUAUAUAACCCAAAGAAGUUGUUAAAAGACGAUACUAGUUGGGCUUUGAUAUAUACAACAAAUACUUGCCUAACGGCUAUCAACCUAUUGAGUUGUUUAGUUGCUUAAAGUUCAAAUAGAAUGUUGGGAAUCCGGUACUCACCCCGGUACCGAAUUUUGAGAAUCCGCAACCCGCUCCAAUACUGACUGUUGUUGAUCUGGUAUCGAUUGUUGGGAUUCUGCAAUGGAAGUGUCGAAUCGAAUUUUUACUAUAAACUCGUCUCCUCAGCAAAAAACUGACACAAUCAUAAAAAAAAGAAAAGCCAAAACAGAAAAUAUGCCGGUAAAGUAAGAUUCAUUAAAUAAAAGAAGAUUACACCUGACUCCUCUUCUGCAACAGAAUAGCUACAACCUGAGCUCUCUUUCUGAAUCUCUCUUACCUUUCUCUCGUCUUCUAAAAAUUUAGAAUACAUCUCUCUCAUCUUGUGCACCCGUGCACAAGGUAUACCAAUGACCCACGGCUACGAAAGAUGCACACGUCCUCUUGCACUCAUGCACUAGGUGCAUCCGAAAUCAUGACCACCUUGGCCAUAUUAUAGGGCUGUGGCCAAUCCGUACAACCACCACCACAAUAUUAGCACAUAUGCUAUAUUUAUAGCUUACAUCAAAAGCUACCCAAAUCCUAAUCCAAUUAGAUUUCUACUCUAAUUAAUAUUUAAAUCUUAAUUUAUCUCCAACAGAUUUAAAUAUUAAUCCUAAUCCAAUUAGAAUUCAACUACAAAUCUAACCAAAUCCUAAUAUUCUCCACCUUGGUUGGAUUUGUAGUCUUCAACCGCUGCGUUGAGCUUACCAUGCAAGUUCUAUCUUGAGCUUGUCUCCUCCGCUUGAUGUCACUGCUUAUGCCGCUUCAUCUCGAGGGACUGCACCUCCGCAAACUUUUGGAACCCAAAUUAAUUUUGCUCCCAUUCUGACUGUGCUCCCGUUCAGAACGUACAAGUUCUCGUGCUUGUCCGCCUCGCACACGACCUGAUCUCGCUUUCUCAUAGCUCUACCUGAAGCUGAAAAAUCGCAACCUUUCGAGUUCAACGCGUCUAACAAGAUUAAAUUCCGUUUCAAACCAGGAACAUGCCACACACCUGUCAGCGUCCUCACGACCCCAUCAUGCAUUCGCUUCACCGUGCCGACUCCCAAAACUUUGCACGAUGUCCCGUUCCCUAUUAGAGUCUUUUCACCUUUGAUCGCCUUAUAGGUGGCAAAAGACUCCUUCUCCGGGCAUACGUGAAAGGAACAUGUUGAAUCGAGCACCCACGCAUCAUCCGAAAUUUUCGCACCUCCGGUCGCCGCAUAUAGUCAGAAUCGAUCAUCUCUGACUCUGCCGCCUGCGCCAUUACUGUUAUAGCCUCGUCCUGGUUCAUGAUAGUUUUCUCUUUUUGUCAUUUUAACCUUUUUCGAUUAUUCUGAAGUUUCCGAUAGUUGCGCUUUAUGUGCCUUUUUUUGUGACAGUAGCAGCACUACACCUCAGAUAGCGGCUUUUUCUGUCAAUCUCCAGUCGCUGAUGUUGUCGCCUUCUUUUUCGCUCUCACCACCAGCCUUACAUCUCGGCUUUGCAUGCUGGACUCUUGAGUAAUCUUCCGCAUCUCAUUCGAGAGAAGCGCCGUCGUGACCACGUUCACGCUUAUGGUCUCCUUGCCAUAAAGCAAUGUGGUCACCAUAUGCUCAUAUGUCGCCGAUAGCGAAGAUAGUAAAAUCAACGCUUUAUCUUCGUCAUUCCGAUUGACUCCAAUGCUAGUCAACUGGGCCACCAGCUUAUUGAACUCGUUUAGAUGAUCAUGUAGGCUCGUUGCUUCUUGCAUCUGCAACGUGAACAGUCAUUGCUUCAGAUACAACGUGUUUGUCAGGGACUUGGUCAUGUACAGAUCUUCUAAUUUUUUCCACAACUUCGCCGGUGUCGACUCGAUGUCUAUGUUGUAAAGAACCUCAUAUGCUAAUAAUAGAUAAAGUGUACUCAACGCCUUCCGCUCCAUCUUCGUCCAUGCCACAUCCGUGACCUCCGUCGGCUUAGCCUCCUUCCGGUACAACGUUUCAUCCAACUCUUGUUGUACGAAGAUCGCCCGUACUUUAAUCUGCCAUAAUCCGAAAUUAUUCUUACUGUCAAUCUCUCCCACAGAUCGGUAACCUUAAGCUCUAAUAUCAAUUGUUGGGAAUCCGGUACUUGCCCUGAUACUGAAUUUUGAGAAUUCGUAACUCACUUCGAUACCGACUGUUGUUGAUCUACUACCGAUUGUUGAAAUUCUGCAACGGUAUCGUCGAAUCGGGUUUUUACCACAAACUCGUCUGCUCAGCAAAAAGCUGACACAAUCAUAAAAAAGAGAAAAACCAAAAUAAAAAAUAUGCGGAUAAAAUAAGAUUCAUUAAAUAAGAGAAUAUUACACCUAACUACUCUUCUACAAUAGAGUAGCUGCAACUUGAGCUCUCUUGCUGAAUCUCUCUCAUCCUUCUCUCAUCUUCUAUAAAUUCAGUAGACAUUUCCCUUAUCCUGUGCACCCAUGCACAAGGUAUACCAAUGGCCUAUAGCUACGAAAGCCACACAUGUCCUCUUCACUACAAAAAAAAGCGGCCUUUACCGACGCUUUUUAAAUCUCUUACCGACCCUAUAAAGCGUCGGCAAAUUAUCCGUCGACGCUUCCGGAAGCAUCGGCUGAUGCGUCGCUAAAUGCAGUGUCGAGAAAAAUUUACCGACGCUUUCGAUAUGCGUCGGUAAAAAUCGCCGACGCUUCAGAGCGUCGUCAUUUGGGUCGCUACUUUGACGCUGGAUCUGCCUUAUUAUCUUGUUUGCCGACACUUUAAGGCGUCGGCAUAUGAUAUUGAUUACGACGCGAAAAAGCGUCGGCAUAUUAUCUUGAUUACGACGCUCAAAAGCGUCGUCAUAUUAUAUUCUCUUAGCCUUUUUUUUCCCUUAUUGGCGACGCUUUACAGCGUCGGCAAGUUCAUUUUAAUAUAUAUAUAUAUUUUUUAUAAUUUUUUGUAAAAAUAAAAUUUACUGUUCAGCUUAUUCAACACAAGCACAAAUAAUUAUAAUCAAUAUUACACAAGCACAAACAAUUAUAAUCAAUAUUACACAAGCACAAACAAUUAUAAUCAACAUAUUAAUGACAAACACAAUAAGCAACUUAUAUAAGAAAAGUAGUUAAAAAUAUAAACUUCAUCUCAAUGUGUUUUGUUACUAAGUCAAAACAGUAACAAACUAUGAGCAUUUAAAUAUAAUUCUAGGGUUAUGGUUCUUUUAAGUUUUACAAAAAUAAAGCUCAAAAUAAAUCACAGUCAUCUAAAGUGAUGAUGAAUCCCUAGUCUCACUACCCAAGUUCACGGAUUGGUCGACAAGCCUAUGCAAUAAAGUUUUUAUCUCACUCAUUUCCGUUUCGUGUUUCUUUUGCAUAUCUUGUAUUUGAGCUCGCAAUCUUUGAACUUCUUCUUUCAUUGGGUCAUGCCUUUCGUUCUCUAUAUUUCUUAGUUGAGCUUGAAUUCCAAAAACUUGUGUCGGUGUAGGACCAAUCCCAUAACCCCUUACUCGACCAUAUCGGUCUUCUCCUUUUUUUUCCUUGUAAACAUUUUCUUCAACUUCUUUGGUGGCAUUUGAGAACUCAGUCGUAGUCGCUUUUUUUGCCAACUCUCCUAUUAAGUCCUCCUAUAUUAAAGCAAGAAAUAUGAACAUAUCAAUUCCAUAUGAAAUAACUUUAUUGGUGCAAAUAAUAAAAUGAAGAUAAAACAAAGUACACAUUACAUACCACAAAAUCGCUUGAUGCUUGAUUAAUAUAUUCUCCAUCUUUAGUCUUAUGAGUUACUACAAAAAAACUCAAUACGUCCAGGCUCUCUAUUAUUUUCUUCCUCCUGACAUUAAUCAUAAUAAAAAGUUUGAUAUAAACAUAGUAAAAAGUUUGGUAUAAAAUAUAAUUCAACAAUCAACUUGAAACUAGAAAUAUAUAAAACACAUAUAAGUAACUUCAUCUAAUAAAUUGAAGUUUUCAUACAAAUUCAUAUCUCUUUCGUGCAAAACUCUUAGAACCGGUCGUGUGAGGAGUUGUGUGACUUGCACGAGAAGCCCUUCCAAUUCGUGAGAGAUUCUGUAAAAAUAAAAUAUAUAAAUUCAAAAGUGUAACAACAAACUAUUAGUAACUCGCAAAAUAUUUCAUUAUUAACUACUUAUAAAUACUACCUCAUUUCUCUCCGAAAACCAAUUGCGAACAAGAUCUAUCCAUUGUUGUGGCACAAUUUCUGGAGGAACAUCACUAGCAAUCUCUUCUUGUGUACGGUUAGCCGUUUUAUAUUUCGACUUAAGUUCAUGCUUGUAGUCUUUCCAUUUUCGACCAACUGAUUUCAACACCCAUGUUUCAAUCUUAUCAUCGCGUGGAAGAAAAAACUUACUCUACAAGUAAGAAAAAUAAUACAUGAAUAUAAAUUUAGAGAUGAAGAAUAUAAUAUACCACAAAAUUAUAUGUCAAUUAAUCAUUCAACAUAAUAUUUUUUUUAAUCCAGAAUUGCUAAAUCAAACUUAUCUUACUUGACAAAACUACACAAUCUAUUUACUAAAGUGUUCUACAACCAAAGAUAAAUGAUCAAUUAGUAAGAAAAAUAGCUUGCUGGACAUAUAUGAAACAUUGCAUUCCACAACAAGAAUAAGAAAUAAAUUGUUGAUCAUAAUCAGAUCUCUAAAAAAUGGUCAAGUAUGAAAUCAAGUAACUCAAAAUACUUACUCGAGUCAUUUUGACGAUGUCUAAUUUAAAUGGCACAAUAGGCAUAACCUUCCAACUUAUAUAGUGGAUAGGACACAUAUUCCCACGUCGUGCAACCAUUCCUAACCAACAACCUAAAAUUCCUCCACCUUUCUUUAUAGGUUGUCCAAAUUUGUUCCAAUCAACUUUAAUUCUUUGUCCAGAUGGCAAAUUCCAAACAUCUUUUGCACGUGUCAAUCCUCUUUUCUUUUUUAAAUUAUCUUGCUCAUCUAAAGAAAAAGAGUUACAAAUAAGUUCAAAGAUAAAUAGCAAAGUCUAACAUAUACGAGAUUAAAUAAAAAUUAUAGAAGAUUACCGAUUAUCUCCAAUGUAUCAUCAUCUUCAAUAUUUGUUGAUUCUUGCACUUGAGAAUUCUCUUCUGAGGGCUCCGGCUCUAUGCUAGGUUGAUUUUCUAGAGAAGUAGGAUUUAAGGUAGGUGAUAAGUCAUCACGAUCUGAUUGAGGUUCAUUAUCUUGAAGUGUUGUAAUUGUACAACCUCUCAAUCUUUUUGAUCUCACCAUUACUAAAGACCUGUAUAAAAAGAAUAGCAAUAGAAUCAAGUAAUGGUAAAAAGAAUAGCCACAACUUGCUAAAUUAACUACCUUUUCAAUAUCAAAUUGUAUGAUUUGGACUAAUUCAUUAAAUAAAAUAAAAACAAUAAACACAACAUGCAUCUUGAAUUCCUAAGAGUUAAAUAAUUUUAACUUUAAUGUCCAAACAAAUAACAAAGUAGAGCAAACUAUAUUUAUGCCUAAGAGUUUGUAAGACCACCUAUAUCAUGUAUUAGUCCUCCAUCAAUAGUUGACCGGGCCCAACUUGUACAAUUAUUUAAUUCGUCAGCAGUUGGAAUAUUCAAAGGAAUGCAUUGGGUGUAUGUCUCAUCAUCGUCUUCUUCUUGUAAUCUUGCUCCCAUAUCAUAUAAAUCUCUUGGCUUUAUCAUAAUGAUAUGAGACCAUUCCUCAUUUUUUGGAUCUUGAACAUAAAACACUUGCUUCGCUUGAGAUGAAAAUAUAAAUGGAUCAUCCUUCAACAAUUGACCCGUAUGAAUCAACUUAGAAAAAUUUACGAAAAUAGAGCCAUUUGUGUCUUUCUUCAAUCCCCUAGGUGAUUUAAUGUCCACCCAAUCACAACGAAAUAAAACAACCUUAAAACUUCCAUAGUAAUCUAUUUCAAAAAUAUCGGUAAGUUGGCCAUAAUAAGUUUUGCCAUCUGCUUCAACCAUUACUCCAGAAUUUUGUGUUUUUCUGAACUUCUCACGAUUCUUCGUGUGGAAUCUAAAUCCAUUAAUGAUGAAACCAUUACAUCGCUUGGCGAUAUUGUUUGGACCUCGGGCAAUUGCUAAAAUUUCAUCACUACAGUUUCUCUCGGCCAUUUGUGGAACCUAAAAUUUGUUGGAAAUACAAUAUUAAAGAAAUUUUGUUAAUGAAUAAGAAAUUACAUUUUAUCAAUUUAACAUGAAAAGUUCUUACCUGUGCAAGAAGCCAUUCAGGAAAAUUUUCAACUAACCAUUUAUGCUCAAUACUUGGGUUAGCUCGAAUGUUAGGAUUUGCUCUUCGUUGAGCAGCCAAAAAUUCACUAUAUACAAGUGUAAAAAAUUACACACUUAGAAUGUACUUGUAUCAUAAUUAAAAUUAAUUGUAUGAACGAAAGAUUAUAAUGAUAUUUACCCACGAUAUGAAGCUAUUUUAUCACAAUGGAGUAAAACAUAUCGAUGUGCUUGUGCUAUCGACAUGCUAUCAAGAACGACACUCUCAAUCUUGCCUAGAACUCGACCCCCAGAUAAGAACAUGUAAUUAUCUAUAUUCUCCAUAUUAUCAAAGUUUCGUUGUGGUCGAUUAAAAACUGACUCCACACCUUCAAGAUAUCUUGAGCAAAAUGUUAGACACUCUUCUGCAAUAUAUCCUUCUGCAAUUGAGCCCUCAGGUUGAGCUCUAUUGCGCACAUAAGACUUUAAGCGCACCAAAUACCUUUCAAAAAAUAAGAAGUAUAUUGCAACAUAAGACUGAAAAUAACAUAUCUAAUUAACAUAUGAUUAAAAUCACUACCUUUCAAUAGGGUACAUCCAUCUGUAAUGUACAGGUCCACCCAAUUUUGCCUCUGCUACUAAAUGAAUAUUUAGAUGAAUCAUAAUGGUAAAAAAACUAGGAGGAAAGAUCUUCUCCAUGUGACAAAGUGUCAACGCAAUACGAGAUUGUAAUUGAUCAAGUUCCUCAACUUUAAGAGCCUUUGAGCAUAAUGAUUUAAAAAAUGAUGACAAUCCAGAAAUAACUGCUACAACUUGUCUAGGCAUAGCCGCCCUCAAAGCUAUUGGCAAAAUAUCUUGCAUCAGAAUGUGACCAUCAUGCGACUUAAGAUUUGAAAGUGUUCGCUCUUUUAAAUUCACCCUUCUUGAAAUAUUAGAUGCAUAACCAUCUGGAACUUUGAGAUUCUUCAAAACAGUUAAAAAUGUGACUUUUUCUUGCGCUGACAUAGUAUAGUAUGCAGGUGGUAUAUGGACUUUAUUAUUAGGCAUCACCUCUGGAUGAAGGUCAUGCCUUAUACCCAUAUCUUUUAGAUCAAGACGUGCUUUCAAAUUGUCCUUAGUCCUUCCAGAAAUAUUCAACAUAGUACCAAUAAGAUUAUCACUAACAUUUUUCUCGAUGUGCAUUACAUCUAAAUUAUGUCGAAGAAGAUUAUCUUUCCAAUAGGGUAGAUCAAAGAAAAUACUUUUUUUUUUCCAUAGUUGUUCUUCUGCACGCAUUCCUUCCUCAUCAUAAUUAUGAGAAUCAAUAAUAUACUCAUCGACAUCGUCAAAAUUGUAGCUUGCACAGUAUCAUGGACUUCUUCGAGUCGUUGUUGAUUCAUAAGAUUGCCAACUUGUUCUCGUCCUCUCUUUCUACAAGACUUAGAGCCUUUUCCAUACUUGUGGUUGAUUCCUUCUAGUUGCCGAAGUAUAUCACUUCCAGAUGGAGAGUUUGGAGCAGUUCGCAGUUCUAUGGAACCAUCAAAGUCAUCUUUUUGAAAUCUAAAAGGAUGGUUUUGUUCUAACCAUCUACGAUAGCCCAUGUAACAGAAUUUUCCUCCAUUCUUUAACCAACGUGAAUCAGUUGAAUUGAGACAACAAGGACAAGCAUUUCGCCCUUUUGUACUCCAACCAGAUAAGUUAGCAUAAGCAGGAAAAUCAUUAAUAGUCCAAAUUAAAGCUCCUCGCAUAUUAAAGUUUUGCUUCGUAAAAGCAUCAAAUGCAUCAACACCUUCCCAUAACUUUUUCAAUUCAUGAAUUAGAGGUUGUAAAAAGACAUCGAUAUCAUUACCUGGACCCUUCUCACCAGGAAUAACCAUCGAUAAUAUCAAUGAUGAUUGCUUCAUGCACAACCACGGCGGUAAGUUAUAAGGGAUCAAAACAACGGGCCAUGUGCUAUAAGUAGAGCUCAUUGUCCUAAAAGGAUUGAACCCGUCACUAGCUAAUCCAAGUCUAAUACUACGAGGAUCAGAAGCAAAAUCGGGAUGACAAGAAUCAAAUGAUUUCCAUGCCAAAGCAUCAGCUGGAUGUCUUAAGAUUCCAUCCUUUGUUCGGCCUUCUUCAUGCCAUCUCAUAGAGGCAGCCAUUUUUUAUGACUUAUAAAUUCUUUUUAAUCUCGGUAUUAGAGGAAAAUAACGUAAUACUUUUGCCGGUUUUUUUUUCUUUGUCAUAUUGUCAUUUUCUCUUAAAGAAUCAUCCUCAUCAUCUUUGUUUCUUAACCACCUUGAGGCUCCACAUAUAUGACAAUUUUCUUCGUUUACUUUUUCAUUCCAAUACAAUAUGCAAUCAUUAGGACAAGCAUGAAUUUUCUCAUAUCCGAGCCCUAAUUGUUUUAUUAAUUUUUUAGCUUCAUAUGAAGAUGAUGGAAGUGAAACGCCCCUCGGAAAAGCAUCCUUUAGUAGUUGGAGUAACAUGGUGAAAGAUUUUCCGGACCACCCAUUCAAACAUUUGAGAUGAAAAAGACGUAGUAUAAAAGAUAAUUUUGAAAAAUUUGUACAACCUGGGUAAAGUUCUUGAUCACAAUCUUGCAUCAAAGUUGCAUAUGAAGUUCCAUCAACAUUUGGCGCAUUUUGUUGUCCACUUGUUUGACUUGGAUUUCCAAUAUUAUCCCCAUCGCCUAUUGGUUCACUAUUUAAAAUUAUAUUAGAAAAUCCAAAGGCAUCUUGGAGUAAUCCCCUUACAUCUCCCUGUCAUGUGAGAUCUUGUUGCACAUUACUGCAUUCUAUAAUGUGUGGAGUAUGUUGAGCAACUUCACUAGCAGAAUACAUUAGUGGUUCCCCAUGAAAUACCCAGUCAGUAUAACCUAAUGAGAAUCCCUUCCAUACCAAAUGUUCUUCCACAACUUCUGGAGUAUGUGAGGAGCAAUUAGAACAUUUCCGACAAGGACAUACAAUUUUUCCUCUAUUUGAUGAUUUUUCAGUAGCAAAUCUAAUAAAAUUAGCAACACCAUCUAAAUAAGCCUUGCUAUUCCUCGGCUUAUUAAUCCAACUUUUGUCCAUUUGAUUAGGCUGUGAUUACCUUGCUAAUAGCCUAAGACAAAAAAUGAUAUUUAAUGUAACUAAAGUAAUGUAACUUAUAUCAAAGCGCAUUUUCCAAAUAAAAUUUAAAACAAAUACGUAAAUACUAAGAAUUAGUCAAAAGGACAAGAUGGUCUGUGUUAAUGUAAUGUGUAUUAUACAACACAGAACAAUUAGCAAUUAGUGAUAAAAGAAGUUGUUGAGCUAUAUCACAAAUAUGAAUUUCAUGCAAAAUUGAGUAGGAAGAAUACAUAGUACAAAUAUAAAGAGCAUGCUGAUAUUUUCUGCACAUAGUUGUCAAAACUAGAAUAACAAAAGAUAUAUAGACACUCAAAAUAAAAAAGUACACACACUACCCAAACUUUAGUACAUUCUGAGUGUCAAAUUCAAUUUUUUAAUUUUGAGUACAUAGCCUUUACUUAUGUAUGAUUUUCAAUAUAAAAAUCUCCGCUUAAAUUUAAACAAUAUUUGUCACUUGUCAAACAAAACCUUUAGAUAUUUGAGCAUAUAAUUAUAAUUUUUUUAGAAAAUUUAUUCUGACAAACAUGAUAGGAAAAUACAUUUAAAAAAUAAAACUACUAUAUUUCAGUACCUAUUAGUAUACUCUAUAGCUCAAGCAAUAUUUGUAUGAUUUGUUGGGAGUAUAGUCUACCUGAGCUGGGUGGUAAUGUGUCCUUUGUUGUAAAGCAAGAAUAGCUAAUUGAAGAUUCCAACUACAAUUUCCUUUUGUUGUAUAACAAGUGCAGCUUGUGACUGUAGCUCUGGUUAGUGCAUUAAACUUCAAAAAGAGAAAAAAAGAAAGAUGAAUUAAAACAAGAAGAAGAAUAAGACAGUCGACAUCAUAGGAGAAAAAUGUAGUUAACAUGAUGGCAAUGAGAAGGUUAAUUAUAAGAUGAAACAAAUAAAUAAAUACAGAAACAAAUAAAAAAUGAAAAAUAACCUUGGUUGGUACCCAAUUUUCAAGAUCCUCCUAUCAGCUGACCACAAGUUCUUUUAUAAUCAAUCUUAAUUAAUUGCAUGUUUCUCUUCAAGAGAGAGAAAUGACUAUUUUCUCAUAUAUUAUCUCUAAAUUAAUUGUACCUUAUCUUUUUUCGCAUUUUUUUAUCUAUUUUGAUUUUAGAAAGUAUGAAAUGUACAGAGGGAGCGCAAAUUGGUUGCCGACUUUCAGUUAUUCUUUUCUAAACACCGCUGACUUCGGUAUUUGUGAGAAGUCCCAAGAGGUACGGUGUUACCAUGAGUUUGAAAAUUGUAAACAAGUUGCACCUCUUUAAUUAAUUUGUAUAAAUUUAUAAGGAUAGUGCAGGUGGGAACAUCUUUACAACCAAUAAAUGGGAAUGAUCAGAUAAUUUAUGUAUGCAUGUAUGCCUGUAAAACUGAUACUCUGUACUUAAAGGUCACUUUAAUGAAAUAGGUAUGCAUGUAUGCCUCUUAAUCUUACAAAAAGGUUUGAAACAGAAAUUUAUGUUGAUCAAUUUCUAACAGCAUCAAAUCAUUGAAAAAUCCCCCAAAAUGCACUUUUCUUUCCCAUUAAAUUGUGAAUCCCACAGGAAUAACCCUAACCCACAAUUUUAAAAGAAAUAGAUUAAUAAAUUUAGGGGCAAAUUGUUGAUACUCGCAAAAUCCGUGGCUUUUGCUGUCGGAUAUCUGUUUUUGCAUUAUAGAUUUCAUAAUGCUAUUCUAAAAAGAAAAAAAAUCCAAAAGAGUAUAAAAAGGGAAAACUACCAGAGAAGUCGGCGUCGAAAUCCUCCUCUCGCUGUCGUGUCUUCCUUCUCUGCUGCGGCGACCACUGGCGAAGAGCAGAGACUUUUCGCCUUGGAGUAAAGCUCGCGUCGCCGAGGAUAGGAAAGCCCGCUUCUAGUUCAGCGCAGAAAGGAGAAAGCGGAUUCGAUCUUGAGGGAAGUGGUGGCGUCGACCUUGAGGUUAGCGGCGCGUCGACCUUGAGGGAAGUGGUGGCGUCGACCUUGAGGGAGGCACGGAUUCGAUCAGGUUUGGUGCAGGCAUGGCUAUCAUGGAGGAGAGGGCAUAAAUCGCUGUGAGGGGAGAGGGGAGAGGGGAGAGGGGUGAGGGGUGAGGACGGAGAAGAAAAUAAAAGCCGAACCUUAGACUUUUAAUUAGAAAAAAUAAUUAGGAGAGCGCGCUUCGUUUCCCGCGCAAUAUAAUUAACGACGCAAAACCCAAGCGUCGGUAAUAUUGCGACGGUGGAGAAAUUUACCGACGCUUUUUAAAUGCGUCGGCGUAAAAGCGACGGCAUAGGCCUAUUUUGUUGUAGUGAAUUAUAUUUUGGUUGCUCAAGUUUCUGCCGGAUUCUCCUAACUAUUGUUUCUUCACACUAAGUUUUGAUACUACUAUCCUGUGGUUCAUAAGAAAAUAGUUACAUUGGGUUUUUUUUGGAUAGUAGGUUUUCAUACUGCUUGUGUAGUUAAAUUUUUUUUCUCUCGCCUCUAUGUGGUUGCGGCUUAUAAUUCAUCUCUAACUGAAGCAGUUUUUUAACAGUUUCUACCUUUUUCUAUGCAAUUCGAUGAUCAUUGGUACAUUUCUUCUAGAUUCUUUCUCAAUUGGUUUACUCUUUUCCUUUAAUAUGAAAUUGAGAUAAAUGUUGAACAUUUCAUCAGAUAUGUAAUGCAGUUUUAAUAUUGCUCUUUCCAAUUGGUGUAUCCCUCUUGGCUCUAUUGUCUUGUUUACGGCUAUUCUCGUGGGUUGUGCAAUAUCUUCGAUAUGUUGGUUUUUUGGCAAUGAUGCGUGAUAGGAGCGAAUGGUAGGGAGGCAGGGUGUAAGGUAAGCCUUGCAGCCACCAUUAUAUUCCAUCACAGGUUUAAAAACCCUGAGCCCAGCUUUUAGCUGAUUACUUCUUGUCUUCAACUGCUUCAUUCUCAUUUUUAUUAUAUUUUGGUAACUCAAGUUUUAGCUGGUAUCUUGAAUUUUUUCUUCAUACUACACUUCGAUACUAUUUUUGUCACUUGUUUUGUUGAUCCUUCUUAACUAUGUGAUGCAGGAUUUUUUCUAACUUGUUGAUUACAUUUUGGUUGCUCAUUUUUCAUACUAUACUUCAUACUAUCCUGUCUUUAACUGCUUCAUUCUCAUUUUUGUUAAAUUGUGUUAUUUACAAUGUUGCAGGAUUUUUGUCUUACUCUACCUCUUACCUAAUUGCUUCCUGUCCGCAGCUGGUCCAUUCUUGUGUUGAUUAAAUUUUGCUUGGUUGUGUUCUCAGAUGGUUUUAUUUUUCGUUGUCAUCAUGCUUCAAUUGUAUGCUGUUACUGUCAAAUGGUUUCAUUUUUCAUUUUCAUCAUGCUUCAAUUCCAUUUAGCUUCUAAUCUGUUACUUACUGUCACUUAUUUUGUUUCUUUUAUCACAUACUUUCAUAAAAAUACAUUAUCGGCUACUAUAACUGCUAUAACAUUAUCGAAACCGUGGUACAAUGCUAAUCUUGUGGUAUAAUUCCUGUUUUUAUUAUUCCAUUGGCUUUCUACAAUAUUACUUGUCUGCUGUAAUUCCUGCUUUCAUUACUAUUCUGUUGCCUUUUCUACUGCAUAUAGGUGGCCCUGUAUUUCAUAUAUCUCUCAUUGGUUCUUUUUUUCUACUUGUAUAUUUUUUGUACACCAAUACAUUGUUUGAUUGAAUGGAUAAUGAAGUAUCAUUACCAAAGAAAUUGGCAGCAAGGUAUCGACAAAGGUAUAUUGAGGCUUCCGGUGGACUUGCGAAUGUGGCGAUGAUGCUUAAUAGGAUAAUGGUGAUCAUGGUAGGGUGGCAGUGAUAAGACCCACUGGAGCCAUCAUUUUUCCCUCAAUCCUUUUAACCUGAGCCGAUAUAUGAUCAUUCAACAAACAUAUUAGUUUCAUGGAAUUGUGAAUGUGGCGAUAAUGCUCAAUAGGGUUGUAGACGAUCAUGAUAGGGUGGCAAUGAUAAGACCCAUUGCAGCCAUCGUUUUCUACUCAAUCCUUUUAAACUUGAGCCAAGCAGACAUCUUACAUAAAAAAGUCUUGUGGGUUGGUGUUGUAUGACAGUUAACUAAUCUUCUUUUUUUUUUUUUAUACCACAGAGAUGGGUGCUGUAAUCAAUCGCCGUUUUUUUUCAUCUCCAACUCUUGCCGAUCUUAUGACGUUCUUAGAUGAGGAAGAUGAAUAUUAGGAUGAAGUGCUUGGUAUUAUGAUCAAUCAAGGUGCUACUACAUUUCACAACACUUUGUACAAGCGACCAUGUCGCACAAGACCUUUCACCGGUCAUCAAAUUAUUAUGGAUAUUUUACGAGGUCAUCCAGAUAGAGGCUACCAACAUUUUCGCAUGUCCAACACUACAUUCAUACGACUUCGAGAUGAAUUGGUUGAGAAAGGUUUGAUACAGGGUAGUCGCAAUUUGACUGUUGAUGAGCAACUUAGAAUUUUUCUAUUCGCUAUAGGCCAUGGAGUCACAAACAGAGUAUUAGCCGAGACAUUUCAACACUCGGGGGAGACAAUUAGUCGAUAUUUUAAUACUGUCUUGCGGGGUGUAGUGGAACUAAGGCAUGAGUACAUCCAAAUGCCAACAAGUAAUGUUGGAAUGCAUCAGAAAAUAAGGGACAACCCUUUGUUCCACCCUUUCAAGGUGAUAGUACCGGUAUUCAAUAUUCUUGAUUUCGUAAUUUAUUAUACUAACAAUUUUCUUUCCUGUUGAUUAUAUUUAUAGAAUGCAAUUGGCGCUAUUCAUGGAACGCAUAUACUGGUGGUUGUAAGGAAGAAUAAGCAACCGUGUUAUCGGUGUCGCAAAGUCUUUACUUCACAAAAUAUGAUGACCGCAUGCUCGUUUGACCACCUGUUUCUAUUUGUUUGCACUGAAUGGGAGGGUUCUGCAGCAGAUAUGAGGGUCCUGCGGUGGUGUUGUGAGUUCACGGUACCUGAAGGUAUGUUUAUAUUUAAAUCUUUUGAAAGUAAUUAAAUAUUCAAGGUUCUUGAUUAUUACUGCUAUCCUGAUUGGUUUUUUUAUGUCUGUGUAGGGAAAUUUUAUUUAGUCGAUUUUGGAUAUGCAAACACUGAUCGUUUUCUCGCGCCUUAUAGAGGAGAGCGAUACCACUUAAGUCAAUUUGAUGGCAAUGCUCGGGCACGUAGGCAUCGCGGACCCCGAGAUCUGUACAAUCAUAGGCAUGCCCAAUUAAGAAAUGUUGUUGAGAAAGCCUUUGGCAUUUUGAAGAGGAGUUUUAAGGUUCUUCGGCAAGCGACUCCUUUUCCUUACAAAGUGCAAUGUCGUAUCGCCUUAGCAUGUUGUAUCAUCCAUAACUUCAUCAAGAGGUACCAAGGAAACGAUAUGUAUUUCAACAUGGCAAUGGAUCCUUUUUCUCAAGAUGAACAAGAAGAGGAACCAAUACCCUUGGUUGGGAUUGAUGAAUCACGGGGGGGUGAGGAACUCCGCGGUAUGAUAACGGAGCAGUUAUGGAAUAAUAGAUAGCAUGUCUCCUUCAUUUAAUACUAUGGCGUACACUUUGUUGCAAUGAUGUUUUCAAUUGGAUGACUUCUUUAAUCUUGUAUUUUCAGCUCAUCUACUGCUACUUUCUUGUAACUCAAACUGGUUCCUUUCUUCUUUCCGCUUGAUAUGUCGAAUGUUAAGCGUACUUGUGUGCCUUCUUGCUGAUUAUGUAAACUUUGCUAUGAAUAUUUUACUUAUGAAAGCUUUGUAAUCUUGUGAUUUACAUGGUCAAAUGUUGCCUUGUCUGUAAUCAUGAAAGAUUUAUGUAUAACUGGUAAUGAUGAUAUUUUUCUACAAAUUUUUCUUUCGUUUACACAUGGGUGGGUAUAGUAGUUUAUGAUGCUUUCUUGGUGCAAAUGUGCAUCCAAAUUAACUUGUGAAUGUAUUUUAUUAUUUUGGAAUAAAGAGCAUCAUAGCAUAUUCAUGAACGGGUUCCAAACUAUAAUUUGAAAAAGUGCAACAAUCAGUGUGGUAAAAUUGUUGCAUAAUUAGGGAAAAGUUAUUGUCAAAUUUACAGUUUUAAUUGUGUCGGUUAAUAUGAAUCUAAGAACAUCUCAAUGCAUUUACAAAUAUAAUUCUGACAAAUAAAUGUGCUUUGGCAAUUAAAAAUUGUAAAUUAAUGCACCAUAAUAUAGAAAUCGCAUUGUUUAAUUUGUUAGAACCCAUGAGCAUAAUAAUCAUAUGUACAACUGACGCAACCAUUAACAAGGGUAAUAUUGGUAUUUUUCAAAGUAUAAAUAUAUUUGUUCCACUAUUCCCCUGUAUCAUCAUGAAAUUUUCCAAACAUAAAAUUUCUUAUUCUUUGUAAUCAUUACGUUUGACACCAAACAAAAAUACUAUCUCAUUCCUAAAGAUCCUAGAAUACAUUAGAAUUUGGUGAAUAAAAUUUUUAAUCCCUUUCCACAAAAUUCCAUUACGAAACGCAGCCUAAGAGUAUUGUUCUAGAGAAUUUACUUACUCCUUAUGAAAUUAUGAAUGUAAUUUUAUUAUAGCCUAAAAUCAAAAUUUUAUAUUUCUAUUUAACUAAUUAAAAAUUUUGAAUAAAAAUUAUAAUAUAGUAUUAUAAUAAAUUAAAAUUUUUUAAACUAAAAUUAGUGAUGUUAGAUUAAGAAAUACUAAAUAUCAUCCAUUCCUUUAGAAAUAUCGGCCGCACACCCAAUCAAUUUUCAGGGGUAACAGUAGAGUUUACCCAUCUUAAAAUUUUAGUUUAAAAAAAUAGUAAUAAUAAAAUUAUUUUUCUCAACCUAUUAAUUUUAAUUUCGUUUUAGCAUAUGAAAUUAAAAUAAUUAACAGUUAAUAGCUAAUAGUACAUACAAAAUAUUUAUCUAAAAUGCCUGAAUUUUUAAAAGUAAUUAAAUGACGACGAUGGAUUUCAAUCAAAGAUUAAAAUUUACAUCGCGUCUCAAGUGCGCGCGCCAACCUACUUGACUUAGUAUCAAAUAUUCAUACAAAGUCAACUGUUUUGAAAAAAAAAUUUCAUUAAAAAUUAGGCACACACAAUAAUAUGUUUUUUCUGUGUAAAUAUAUAUGAAUAUUAUAAAUCUUAAUAAAUUAAAUUUUGAUAGAAAUAAUCUUUUACCGUCUAAGCAUGCCAAACACAUUUGCAGUUAACUUCCUAAGCUAGCUUUCACGUUUUGUAAUUUGGUCAUGUCACGCCCUGGGGUCCCUUUUAGUUUAAAACAUAGCGGAAAAGCGUCUGAAUUUUUUUUUUUUUUUUUUUUGAAAAGCCUGACCCCAGAGUAUGCCAGAUCCGCCACAAACACAGGGAAUCCACUGUUCACGAAUGGACAGAGUAUCCCUAUAUUGACACGGCGAUCAACAAGUACAAGAAGUAACCCAGCUACAACCAACAACCAAAUGAACAUACAAUAUAACAACAAUUAUAUAUUCACUCACCAUUCAAUCACUGAUUCACAUUUAUAUAUUCGAUAUUUUAACAUAAAUCCAAUCUAUCAGUUAAAAUGUUUCCAACACAGAAACAGGUUUUUGAAAUACUAAGAUGCAAAAUCCACAGAAAAUCUUUUUGAAAACUGUUUUCUAUACGGAAACUUUAUUUCUUUAAAAACGCGUUGAGGGCCGCGAGGGGUAGAAAAACCUUUUAUUUCGGCAUAAUUAUCAGAAAUCCAUUUAUUACAUUCACGAAAAUCCUAUUUUUCAAAUGUAAUAGAAAAUACUGAACAUAUAACUUAUCUAAGCAUAUAACGACUGAAAUGAUGAAGCGGUAAUAACUAUACCGAGAAUUAACGGGUGUAAGCUCUAUCGGGGGGGGGGGGACCGUACACACGACCUCACGUCUCGUCCCACUAUUCACCGCCGCGAUACCUGAAAAAAUGGUUGGGCCGGACGUUGAGAACAUGUAACGUGUCUCCCCCCCAUGUGGUACGCAGCUUAUGAAGGCGAGGGAUACUCAUCGGAUAAGGAAGAGCUAAAUAACAACAAGGGGUCAGUGAAAUAGUAGCAUACCUAAUAGUAAGUAAAGAGCAGAUAAUACCGAAGUGUAGGCCAAUAAAACAUGAAGAAAGUAAGAACUAGACCUGAAUAACGGCUACCGCUACUGUAACUGGGAACCGUAAGCAUACAAUGAACAUUACAUAUGCCAAGCAGACAACUAUAAAGUAAGAACUGUAAGUAUGCGAUGCAAUGACUAACUAUGUAGACAUAUGCGUUCAACGGUCAAGAAUGAUCAAAAGCUGACCAAUCUGAACCAAAUGCCUUUCUUGCUCAGCACGCCAGACUCAGCCAUAUGCCUGUGAGGUCCGCACCGCCAACACCUCCACAAGUACACAUGCCGCUUCUGAACAUGCAGUAUAACCUUAGGGCUCACGGGUUGUCACAUUCAACCACUUUCCGUGAAAAGAACAUCCUUGCGGUGGAUCAGCACCGGCUAAGUGGUUCCUGGAAAUGCGACGGAGUUUCGGACGGAGUCAAUGCAAUAUGAGUCAAUGAUCAAAUCGUCGGCGCACAGCCGACAAUCCUGCCCCCAGGGCCUAUCUGCACGCAUAGUUCAAUACUGUAAAGAAGCACAAGAACCGACACAUUAGGUCAACUAGAAUGGGAAACAUCAUCGCUCUCAAAACAAUUGAAAUAUGACUAAUGCAAGUCAACUGGGAUGAACAACUCACAUCCUACCACAUUAUGUAGAUAGCUGAUCCAAGAGUCAACUACCUGUAUAUAUGCAAGAACGUGUCACAAGUCAUUUGAGUAUAUGAUCUAGAACUUUACCGUCGGCUGCUACUAGUUCGACAAUCCUUACCCCUCAGGGUACACGACCUCUAAAGGUCAUCAAACAACAAGAGUCAAGGAACAGACCCGACUAUCAGAUAUAAAAUACAAGAGUAACGAAUUCAAAACUAGGUUCACCGAUUUCAUUAUAAAAAUCACGAAACCGCCUCUACUGCUAAAAAUGAUAUAGGGGAUAUGCAGAAUAGCUAAGCUAGAGCCAAUAAAGAAAUAUGGUGUAACUACUUAUCUACGACAAUGAUAAUAAAGCAUGGAAACAUCUGAGUAGAGUAUAAUCAAAACAACGUUGGGUGAAUGUAAACAUAGAGGUGCAACAGCUCAACAUAUAAUAUAAAGCGAUGGAAUAAUAGCAGCAGGCAGGUAGGAGAAACCAUCACGAGCGUGCACCACUGUACCAACGGUCGGAUGAAGUACCCACCUGUCAACUGUUCCGCCUGUCAACCUUGACUUCAAAAGAACGUCAAAGGACUUAAGGAGGAUCCACUUGGGUUAGUGUCUUAACCACACUAAGACGCAUACAUCAAGAUCUCUAACAACCACGGAAUCAGUUUCCCAAAAACGACUGACCGUAAACUCGCCGAAGUCCCGAAAAUCGCGCGGGACUCCGUCGGGACCACUGAAAAUGUCCCGAAAACGCAACCGACCCAUGCUACAAGUCGACCUGCUGCAUAAAACACUCCAAUUUGAUUGUUUUGGCAGCAAAACAUAAGAUAAAUCACCAGCGGACACAAUUAUCGCCAGAUAAUUGUACGAAUACGGGGGGGGUUCCGGAACUGUGCAAAUACGUCGACACCGGAACCCACCGUCGCUCACCCGUCAUCACGAACCACAAAUGAUGAUGAUCGUGACCAGCAAAAGGCUUAGCUGACCAUCACGGAGCAACCAAACGACGUCGGAAGAAUUCGAACGAAACGCGUUCUUUCGCAUAAUUUUCGCCGAAAAACGCCCGAAUCAUUUUCGAUUCGCGAAAAGUCCUACAAGAUCAUGGACAACCAGUCACGAGGUCAAACACACUCAUAGCACACUGUCCACAGUGAGCCCUAGGUGCACAAUUGCCAAAGCCCUAGUGUUUCAUUAAAUCAUCAUUUAUGUAAUCGGGCGACUUUAUAUGGCGUUGAUCUCCCAAACGAUGGAUUCCAAGGUCCGCCGAGAACUACUGAACGGUCCGGACGUACCGGAGGCGUGCUCAUUGAUCUGGUAGCACAUGGUAGCUCACUGUGGGAAGCGGUGGAGAGCAACCCGAAGGUUUCGGAACAGCGCGCAGUCAAGGGAGAUGGCCGUAACAGGAUAACCGGAGACUGCUGAUCCAAAAUAAGGUAAGCACGUGAAUCAGCAUCUGGCACCAUGCGUGGUCACCCGAUGCUCACCCUCCGGAGGCAUCGGAAACAGCCUCGGUAUCGCCCGGAAAAAAAUGCACAAACCAGAACAACAGCCAAAAAGCGCUCCAUAGGGUCGACACCACAAAAACAGCCGAAACGGGGGCAUCCUGACAGAAACAAGGGUGAGACGAUGAUCAGAAACUUGCGCGAGGAAUCACCGUGCUUCCCUUCCGUAGAGAUCGGGGAGGUCGACGUAAGUCGGAACAGUAAACCAUCUAAUAGCCCUAUUUCGGGCUUGGCCGGAGUCAGGUUUGCUCCGGCGGCUUCGCGCACGGUGGCUGCGCGCGGAGCCGGAUGUGCGGGGAGGUGAAGGAACACGAUCUCACCUCAUUUGCGGGGGGUAGCGGCGAGUGACGGCGGAGAGACUUGAGCCGCACGAGGCUCGGGCCGGGGUUCCAACGAAGUACGGCCACGGCGGUGGCGGGCAGUCCCUGGGCGACGCGGGAGGUCCACAGACGGCCGGGAGGAGGAGAAGGAAGGCGGGGCGCAGCGGGGCGGCCGCGGCUCGGGCGGGCGCCGAGCUAGGGCGUCUGCAGGAACCUGCGGCGGCUUGUCAAAGGUCAGGGCAGGCGGCGGCGUCCGAAGAGGCAUGGGCGCGACAGGGGGAGAGGCGAACGGAAGAGUCGGUUGGGACACAGAGAAGGCCCGGGAGUGACCAAGCGGCUGCGACACGGGGGUGGAGUUACAAGUUGCUCGGUCGGAGCGAGACCUGGCGUAUGGCUGCCAGGGUCGGCGCUGGCGGGCGGCGGCUCGCAGGGCGCCGGCGCCCGCGGGUGUGUCGCCGAGAGGUCCGGGACGCCGGCCGAAGGGUCAGGCGUGGUGCCGGCGGCGAGGCGCGAGUCGAUCCCGACCUAAGCUUCGGCUAAGGCAGCAGGCCAAGGUGCAUAAGCGGCGCGCGGGCGGUUGGCGACGGCGGGCGUCGGCGGGAUGCUCGCCGGCAGCACGGCGGCGACACGGAGAGGGUUCUGAGGUGGCGGCAGUCUCGGCUCCUCCACAACCCGAGAUAAGAGAGAAGGGAGAGAGAGGAUUAUGGUGCGGCAUGCGGCGGCUGGCGGCCGGACCGGUCGGCGCGGCAGGAGGGCGCAGCGGCCAGGUCAGAGGGAGCAAGAACGUUGGCUGGGGAUGCCAGUUAUGGCUAGUUGGGCUGAGGGGAUCAAAAAACCCUAGAUACACUAUAUAUUAAUUAAGUGCAAAUUGCAAGUAGUCCUCCAAAACUCAGAGAUUUCAUAACGGAGUCCUUCCACAGCGCGGUCUGUAAAACGCGAGUAAUACCCUCUACGAUGCGAUCCACGCAAACAGGUACAUAAAUUGUCGCAUUUUUGCGAAUUAGCCAUUUGGCCACACCGACCUUCCUCGAUCAACAUGCGAUCUCCGCAGAUCCGUCCGUCAGAUUUCGCGAACGGGAAUUGUACCGCAUGCGAUCAGCACCUCAGAGACAACAAAGCUACGAUUUCAUUUCACCUCAAAGCGUCGCGGUAAUUCACAUACGAAAUGGUCCGACCUUCUCUCCAACAGAGAACAUACCAAAAAUACAAGUAAAACAGUAUUUUGAAUUUUCUCGCAAAUCCGAUGCGUCAAACUCAAAAUCCGCGUCAGCGCAUUAGUUUCCAGAAUAGUCUGAUCUGAUCGAGAACGAGCUAUUAGAUCGCCCUAUGAACGGAGUCCGCGUACGCGCGAGAUAGCCAGCUCUACCCGUUGGCUUUCCGAAAAACCGAUUACUAUUACCCACUUAAGAUGAAAACUAAUAAUCGCGUAACUUCUCCGUUUUAGCUCAAGUUUUCUCUGAAACUUGACGACAGUGCUUAUGUAAUUAAGUUACACACAUUAAACAUCGUCAAUCGAGCAGUUUAGAUUGCCUCUGUCAAAAUCUCAUCCUUAUAUUAUCUCCCCCCCUUAAAAGAAGGUUUCGUCCCAAACUUGACACGUACCCACCGAAUCGAAUUAGUAUUACUCCACCACUGUAAUAUCACCUUGAGUACUAGUCAUUACAUCUGCGAUAUAUCAACUUUCCGUAGAAGCGGGAAAAGAAGGAGCGGUUCUACCCGGACAAAUCGAGGGGAAAACGUACUAACCCAAAUCUACGACAAAAAUCACGGGGACUCAACAUAUCCUAUAACCUGCGGGACAAAGGACAGUCCCGUGACUAGGGAUUAUCCGAUCCCAAAACUCGUAAAUCUGAGACAAUUACUAUCACUCCAAAAACUGCUUUCCUCUUGCAACUUUCGGUCCGCCGUAACAGUCAAACCGACGGGGGCGAACUCGACUACAGUCGCAAGUUCACGUAGAAAGUCACGAGACAACCAUUUUUAACUCUAGAGUUAUGUUACGUAGACGUGAAACGAAAGCUCCGGACUAUCCACAAUGGUCAACCUGCUCAAGAGUGUAACGAAACGUUGUUCUAAGACCUGAGUCAAAAACUCUCGCUGUGGAGACACAGUCCCUAACAAUAACCGCACAAACUGCCAAACCUCCGAUCAACGUAAAGUUACCUCGACAAUCUUAUAGUCUAUUAGGUCCAAGACCUCAUUUUCCCCUGACAAAAAGGUCAACCGACAAUACAAUACGCUAGAAAAAUCUUUGUCUCCUCAGUUGUAACCGAUACCAUUAACCACAUACUACCAUGCUAAGUCCAUUCUUGAGAACAGGUUGCCAACGCAAAAAGCGGAUACUAACAUCGGGAUGUAACAUCCCAUUAGUCUCUACAAGGACCCUAUCGCUGCCGCUCCUAGAAAGGACCCCUUAUGCGAAUCGAUGUUCCCAGCACACCGAUUACUUGUCUUCAUUGAGACCCAGGCGCAACGCUGUCAUCAAAUAAUCCAGACAUAGCUAAGCUAACCCAAGGUUUGCACAGGAUAAGCAAGUCGCAAACUUUGAUUGCUAUCAUUAGGUGACAAUCAAGCCGAACAAACCAGACUCAAGCUCGCUUCAACCAUAUUUUAAACUUCAUGACAACAGACCGAGACUACUAACCCAAACCAAACCUUUUAGUCGCCGAAGGCACAAUUAAAGUCUGAUGACAUCCAAACUUCGAACUAAAAUCAAAAACCCUUUAUCAGUGACGAUAAGUCAACUGUCUGCAUAAACCUGCUAAGCAAUACCCAAGGGCUCGCUACGUGGUCAUAGAUGACUAUCUCUCUAGGCUUUCCCAGCAUAAAACAGCCUCAGAGAAACAUCGACCCAAUCCAUAAGUCCAAAUGAAGAUGGUAUUUGUUCCUCUUUCGACAGUAUAUUGUUGCAGCCAUAUACUUAUCAAAAGUAAAAACGAAAUAUCCGAAGAUCACUACCAACAACGAGUGUGGAAAGUGAUGAACGUCGCAGUAUCAAGCCACCUGAUACUCUUCACUGGAACCAGAAGCUCACAAACCAUUACUUAUUCGAAACAUCAACUUUUACACAGUCGACAUUCAAAAUUAGAACGACCCUGGACAUCUCGAAUCUAGCCAAACAUACUAAACCACAACACACCAAGUUUGGGUGUGAGAAUAAUCGCACACGAUGUAGUGCCUUAAUAAAAAAUUGACACCAAAUACUGUUGUCAAUUUGACUCAUAGGAGAAGAAUGAAUGAGUUCAAGGUCAAAAGAUUCGAACCGCUGAUUUUCCAAUCAACAAUCAAAGGAGGAGAGGUAGCCAUCGCAACACUACCAAAAGGUUGCGGAAAGCAACAUAACAAUGCAGUCGUGAACGACCGAAUUCCAAACCCUGGGCUACACCGCUGAGUAGCCCCAUGAAGUCACGCCAGCGUAAACUGGUCCUAAGGCACCGAUCUCCUAGAGACCCGCAACAGCUCUCGUGUCCUAAGUAGAGAGAGUGGCUAGGGUCGGCAGUCAAUGACACUGCGCUAGGCCCAGAGAUCAUAGCCCUUUCAAGGCCCACCUGACAGGCAAUGGCUACACCUGAGGGAACUCGGCCCAACCACAUCGAUGUCCAUAAAAAAAAAGUAUAACUGCCCACUACACCCGACUUAGACACCAGCUUGUGCGAACCAUAAACAAUACAGGACACAAACACUUUCGAGUUUAACAAAAUUCGACAUGCACACGGGACACAAGCCCAAGCUCUCGCACCAGUGCUAUAUACCGUGAGGUUUCCUAUAGGGUCAACCUAACCAAGCUGGUUCAGUUCAGUUGGUUCAGUCAUUCUUACUUCAAAAAACAAACAACCUGUGCAAACGGUGUUGUGCUCUGUAACCUCGCUCUGAUACCACUUUAUCUUCACGCCCUGGAGUCCCUUUAGUUUAAACAUAGCGGAAAAUCGCUCUGAAUUUUUUUUUUUUUUUUUUUUUUGAAAAGCCUGACCCAGAGUAUGGCCAGAUCCGCACAAACACAGGGAAUCCACUGUCACAUGACAGAGUUCCCUGUAUUUUGCACGGCGUCACACAAGUACAAGAAGUAAUCCAGGUACAACCACAACCAAAUGAACAUACAAAUAACCAACAAUUAUAUAUUCAUACACCAUUCACAUCACAGGUUCACAUUUAUAAUUCGAUAUUUUAACAUAAAUCCACAUCUAUCAGUAAAAUGUUUUCAACCACAGAAACAGGUUUUGAAUACUAAGAUGCCAAAUCCACAGAAAACUUUUGAAAACUGUUUUCUUUACGGAAACCUUUAUUCUUUAAAACGCUACCGCGAGGGGUAGAAAACCUUUUAUUUCACAAAAUCCAGAAAAUCCAUUUAUUACAUUCACGAAAAUCCAUAAUUUCAAAUGUAAUAAAAAUACUGGAACCAAUAUAACUAUCUAAGCUAUAACCACUGAAAUAUAGGUAGGUAUAACUAUACCGAAAUAACCUGGGUCGAUUGCUCUACGACCGCUACACACGAUCUCACGUCUCGUCCACUAUUCACCGCCCGCGAUACCUGAAAAAAUGGUGGGGAGUUGAGAACAUGUAAACAUGUCUCCCCUCCCAGUGGUACCGCAAGCGAUGAAGGCGAGGAAUACUCACGGAUCAGGAAGAGAGCUAAAUAACAACAAGGUCAGUGAAAAUAUAGUAGCAUACAAUAGUUAAGGUAAAGAGCAGAUAUACGAAUACAGUUAGCAAUAAACUGAGAAAGUAAGAACUAGACUGAAUAACGGCUACGCGUCUGUUACUGAACCGAAAGCAUACUAGACAUCUACUAUAGCAGCAAGACAACUAUAAAGUAAGAACUGUAAGUAUGCAUGCAAUGCUGCUACUAUAGAGAUAUGCGUAACCGGUCAGAAGUCCAAAAGUACCCAGUCUGAAACAAUGUCUCUUGGUCAGCAACGCAGACCUCAAGCCAAUGCCCUGGAGUGUCGCCACCGGCAAACUCCCGACAGUACCACUGCGCUCUAACAUGCAUAUAAGCCUCUAGGGCUUACGGGUUGUCACCAUUCAACCACUUUUCCGGAAAAGAAGCUCCUUGCGGUGGAUCGACCGACCAGUGUUCGUGAAAUGCGACGAGUAUCGGGCGAUCAAUGCAAUAAUGGUCAAUGAUCAAUCGUCGGCAACCAGCCGACAAAUCCUGCCCCCCAGGGCCUAUGACCGCAUAGGUCAUCAACUGUAAAGAAGCACAAGAACCGACCAAUUAGGUCAACUAGGAUGGGACAACAUCGAAUCCUCCAAACAUAUGCAAAUACUGACUAAUCAAGUCAACUGGAUGGAACAACUCAACAUCCUACCCACAGUAUGUGAGAUACUGAUCCAUGCAGUCAACUACUGUAUAUAUGCAAGAAUCGUCACAAGUCAUCUGAGUAUAUGUAUCUAGAACUAUCCGUCGGUAUAGUCGACAAUCCUACCCUCAGGGAUACACCGACCUCAAAGGUCAUCAAAAACAAGAGUCAAGAACAACCCGACUAUAUACAGAUAUAAGAUACAAGAACGAAUCAACUAGGUCAUCGAUUUCACAUAAAAUCACGAAAACGCUCUACUUAACAUGAUAUAGGAUAUGCAGAAUAGCUAAGUGAACAAUAAAGAAAUAUGGUGUAACUACUCUACUCCUACACAUGAUAUAAAGUAUGGAAACAUCUGAGUAGAGUAUAAUCAAAAAACGGGUUAAUGUUAAACAAUAGGGUGCAAAGAGCUCACAUAUUAAUAUUAAGCAAUGGAUAAUAGCAGCAGGAGGAGCAAGGUAAGAAAACCGAUCACCGAGCGUGCACCACUGUUACCAAGAUCGGGAUACGAAGUACCACCUGUUACAACUGUCGCGCUGUCACCUGGAGCUUUAUAAGAACAGUCAACAGGAGCCUAAGGGAGGAUCCACUUGGGGUUAGUGCUCUAACCACUAACUAAGAAGCACUACAUCAAAAUCCUCUAACAAACCACGGCGGAGAUCAGUUUCCAAAACGGACUACGGUAUACUCGCCGGAAGUCCCGAAAACGAACCGCGGACUCACGUCGGGACCACCUGAAAUGGUCCCGAAACGCACCGGACCCAUGCUACAAGAUACCUCUGCCAUAAAACACUCCAAUUUGGAGUUUUGGCCAGCAACAUAAGAUAAACACGCGAACAAUUAUCGCAGAUUAAUUGCUACGAAUACGCGGUGUUCCCGGAAGUGUCCAAAUUCGACACCGGAACCACGUUCGCUCAGUCAUAACCGAAACCCACAAGGAGUCAUGAUGCGUGACACGAGCCAACAAGCCUUAGCGAUCACUCACGGAGCAACCAAACGAUCGUCGAAGAAUUCGAAAACCGAGAACGCGGUUCUUUCGGCGAAUUUUCGCCGAAAAAACGCGCCGGAAUCGAUUUUCGAUUUCGCGAAUACAAGAUCAUGGACAACCAGUCCAGAGUCAAAACAACUCAUACACGACUUGCUCCACAGUGCCUAGGUGGCACAAUUUGCCCAAAAGCCCUAUGUUUACAUAAAAUCCAUUCAUUUUAUUGUAAAUCGGGCGCACUUAUUAUGGCUUGAUCUCCCAAACGAGGACUUCAAGGUCCGCCCGACGGACACUGUAAAACUGAAGCAGGUCCCGACGUACCGGGAGGCUGCUGCUCACGAUUGGAAGCACAUUAGGUCUCACUGUGGGAAGCGCAGGAAGCAACCCGAAGGAUUCAGCGGAACAGCGCGCAGUCAAGUGGGAUCGCGGCCCGACAGACUAACCCGAGACUGCUGAUGCCAAAAUAAGGUAUAGACCGUGAUCAGCACUGACAGCGGUCACCGUGCGCACCUCCGGAGCAUCGGGAACUAGCCCUCGGAUCGCCGGGAAAAAUGCACAAACACAGAACAAAGCCGAAUAAGAGGCAUAGGGUCGUGCAGCCACAGAAAACCCAGCAAAACGGGCCUUUCCUGACAGAAAAAAAGGUGAACACGAUGAUCGAAACUUGCCCAGAUCAUCGUGGCUCCCUUUCGGUAGAGAUCGGGAGCGGCCUUCAGAGCUCGAAACAGUUAAAACCAUCCUAACUAAAGCCCUAUUUCGGGCUGCCGGAGCAAGGUUGCUCCGGCCGGUUCCGGCGGACAGGGCGGCGCGGGGGGAGCCGGGAUGGGUGCUGGGCGGAGGUGAGGAACAUGGAUGCUCACCUCAUUUGGCGGCGUGGGGCGGCGGCAGUGACGGCGGAGAAGACUUGAGCCCGCACUGAGCGUCGGGCCCGGUUCCACGAAGCUACGGCCACGGGCGGUGGCCGGGGCUCUCGGGGAGAGCGCGGCAGGUCCACAGAGCGCGGAGGAGGAGGGGAAAGGCGGCGAGAGGCGACAGCGCGGCCGGCCGCGGCCUCGGCGUUUGCGAUCGAGCAUAGGUCGGUUGCCAGAGCCUGGCAGGGUGCGUCCAGGUUCACCGGCGGCGGCGCGAUCCGAAGGGUCAGCGCGGCGACUGACGGGAAGCGUCGGUGACACAGGAGAAGCCCGAGGGCAUGGACCAAGGCGCUGCGACGCUGGCGGUGGAGUUACAAGUCUGCUCGUCCGAGCAGACCCUGGGGAGAUGGCAUGCAGGGUGCCCGCGCGUGGACUGCAGGCGCGGCUCGCAGGAGCGCCGGCGACCGGCCGGUUGGUCUGCGGGUCGGGAGGCGCGCCGAAGUGUGCAGCGCGGGUGCUCGCGCGGGCGGGGAGGCGCGGUCAAUCCUCGACUAAGCUCGGCUAAGGCAGCAGCGGCCAUCCUGGGCUGCAGCGGCGGCGCUAGGCGACGGCGGCGGUCGGCGGGGAUGCUCGCCGGAGCACGGGGCGACACCGGCGGAGGGUCUGGAGGUGGCGGCAGUCUCGGGCUUCCUCACAACCCGAGAUAAGAGAGAAGGAGAGAGAGGAUUAUGGUGCGGCUGCGGCGGCUGGCCGGCCGGACCCGGUCGGCGGCGGCCGGGAGGCGCGCGGCCAGGUCAGAGGGAGGCAAGAACGUGGCUGGGGUGCAGUUAUGGCUAGGGUUAGGGUUAGGGGAUCAAAAACCCUAGAUACACUAUAUAUACAUAAGGUGCAAAUUGCAAGUAAGUCCUCCAAAACUCAGAAUUUCAUAACGAGUCCUCCACAGCGCGUGUAAAACGCGAGAAUACCCCUCCACGUGCGAUCCCACGCAAAACGGUACAUAAAAUGUCGCAUCUUUUGCGAAAUUACAAUUUGCCAACACCGACCUCUCCUCGAUCAACGUGCGAUCUCCGCAGAUCCGUCCGUCAGAUUUGCGAACGGAUUAUACCGGUGCGAUCAGAACCUCAGAGACAACAAAGCUAUGAUUUCAUUUCACCUCAAACGGUCGCGGAUUCACGACGAAAUCUGACCUUCUCUCCAACAGAAGAAACUACGCACAAAAUACAUAUAAAACACGUAUUUUUGGAUUUUCUCGAAAUCCGUGCGUCAAACUCAAAAUCCGUCAGCGCCAUUAGUUCCAGAAUAGCUGAUCUGAUCGAAACGAGCUAUUGGAUCGCUAUGAACGGAGUCCGGUACGCGCCGAUAGCCAGCUCUACCCCGUGGCUUUACCGAAAAACCGAAGUUACUAUUCACUUAAGUGAAAACUAAUAAUCGCGUAACUACUCCGUUUUAGCUCAGUUUCUCCUGAAACUUGACGAGUGCUUAUGUAAUUAAAUUACACACAUAAACAUCGUCAACUGAGAGUUUAGUUGCACUGUCAAAAUCUCAGUCCUUAUAGGUCAUUAAAAUUUUAUCAAUAAUUGAAUGUGCUCUUUCCUUCAAACAAUGUUACUACAAUCAAUUUAGCCGUAGGUUAUCACAUAAAACUUCAAAAUAAAAACUUCGAAACACAGAGAAGUUUUUGGGUGGCUUGAAGCUUUGCAGAUCAUACGCAAGGCAAGUGACACGAAGAACUGUUUUGCAAAUACUUUUAUUUGAGAAAAUAGAUUUAUUAGUUUACCCAAUAAAAUUUUGGAAAUGUUAAUUAUAGACAUUAAAAGUUUAAAGUUUGAUGGUGGGAGUGCCGAAGUUAUUAUAUAUUCUAAGAUUAAAUUAAUAUUUUUUGGUACAAUUCUGAAAUUUUAGGAAUAUGUAAUUGUGUUUUAGAGAUAUAGUGCAGGAGACACGGCGCAGGCUAGCCUCGUUGGUGAAGGGACUGCACAACCUACCUAGUUCAUUAGGGCAAUCACAGCAUUGGCUUGGGUAAAUUGUGGAUCUUCGGGGGUGACAACGAUUGAAUACGAUUAGAUUUUUGGCAAAACUAUAUUCACGUUCAUAUUAUUUUAAAAUACAGAUUCUCGGAUGCAAAUUUGGAUGCGGAUAUGUAUCGAAUAAUAAAUUUUGUUAUCAUGUUCACUAAUUAAAAGGAAUCGGAUUCAGAUAUGAGCCGAAUUUAUAUUUGGAUACUAUUCAGAUAAUAAUAUCUAGUAAUGAGUUCGCCUUGUGUGCUUUUAGAAGCAUGGGGCCUUCGUGCUAUCAAAUCCUUUUUGAUACUAAAACUUUUGAAUCGACGAUCUACUCUAUUAGACUUAAUUUAGAUAAUCGGAAGUAUCUAGAAAAUAAAUUUUAUGAUUUUUUGAUAUCAUUUAACUAGUGAUCGAAAUGACUCAAAAUUAACGAUUAAAAAUAAAAAUCUCACGAAAAAUAAUAUGACACUAAAAUUUUAGAUAAAAAAUAUUGUUAUUUUAUGUAGUAUAAAGAGUAUUAUAUCAAAAUUUCACGUGCUUUGGAUAUUAUUAUAAUAAAGCUUGCAAACGACUUACCAUGACCAUUAGAAUUGUUGAUUUUGGGCCCUCAAUCUCUAGAAGAAUAAUAUAAAACAAUUAUAAAAUUUAUUUUUUAGAUAUUUUAAAUACUCUAAAUCAAAUUUAAUAAAGUAGAUCGUUGGUUUCGAAAGUCCUAACAUUAACAAUGACUUGAUAACAUGGAGGCCAUUGUACUUCUAAAAGAACGCAAGCCGAGCUCUGUAGUAACAUGCAUAUGUAAAUAUUAACUAGAAUUAGAGUGAAUAAAACACAGUACGAUUAAAGUUUCACACUCGUAUUCAAAUUUUGUAUAAAAUUAAAUCUUUUAAUAAACAUAAAUAAAAUUUAACAUAAAAUUCAUAAUAAAAUAAAUGAAGAAUACAAUAGAACAUCAAUUUGUCUUCCUACUAUAUUUAUUAACAUUUCUUUUAUUCCAUAGGAGUGCAAACUAUCUAAUACCGCCGGAUUUUUUAAGAAACCAUUUUAGCUCCAUUUUUGUAUUAUUUUAGAUGUGAAUUCAGAUAUAAAUAUGUGUUGAAUGCUAAAUUUUGAUAUCUAUAUUCGCAUCCUAUCGAAUUCGGUAUUGGAUUCAACAGGAGUUUAUCCUAACCACAUAUUUUUUCUACUCUUUUGCAUGCAUAUGUGUCAUGCCCCGGGUCCCUUUUUUUGGCUAAAAAGAAUAGCGGAAGUGUCUAAUUUUUUUUGAAACCUUGACCCCAGGGGAUGACAAACCAGCCACAAGUACAGAGAAUCCACUGUUCACGCGAACAGAGUCUCUCCUAUAUUUGCACGGCGUCACACAAGUACAAGUUAUAACCACAAGUGAUUCACCAACCAUGAAUACAUUCACCAAGCAUGAAUACAUUCACCACAUCACAUAAUUACGAAUUACUUUCAUAAAUCCACAUCUAUCAUUCAAAAACGUUUCCCACCUGAAAACUCAUUUUGAAAUACUAAAAUUACAAAAGCAAAAAUCCUUUUAAAAACUGUUUCUCACACAUAAACCUUUGCUUUUAAAAGCAAGCUACCACGAGGGGUAGAAAACCAUUUUUUGCAAAUCUAUAUUAAAACCACAACUUUGUUCAUAGUCAAAGCCGUACCAUAAAAUAAAUAAAGUUAAAUCAAGUUAAAUAACGUUAAACUGAACCACAAUUAUUCAAUCUAUUAUUCAAAUAAAAGGGAUGAGACUAAACCAAUAGUAAUCAGGCCGGGGAAGCCUACUCUCGCUAGGUACAUGUCUCACGCCUCGUCCCAACUUGGACCUCCAAUGUCACUUGAAAUUGGGCGGUGGGGUGUGAGAAACCAACAAAGGGUCUCCCAAUGGAUACCGCAAGCUGACGAGGGCAGUGUACUCACUGGUAACCAAAAAGUCGCUAUGAACAAUGAUACAGUAGCAAAAGUAAAAUAGGAAAAACAAGGUAUAUAAAUGCAACUGCCACUAUUGUACAUCUACAUGCGUCAACCGGACAAUCAGUCUAAAGUACCCAAUCUAGAAUUCGCCAUGUCGGUUUAAGGACCUGAUGCAAGUGCCACGCCGCUCUAAACCCUAGCAGUGGGUUGCUAUGCUCGGGUCGGAAUUCGACCACUUUUCUGAAAAAGAGCACCGUUGCGGUGGCCAAACCGCUGGUGUACGUGAAAUACGUACGAGCAAUGGCGAUCGAUGCAAAUAUGAUCAAUAGUCGUUGGCAAGUAGCUAACAAUCAAUCUCUCAGGGUGUGCCGACCGAAUGGGUCAUCAAUCAAAAUCUCAAACCGAUCAACUAGGUCUCACUGAUGUCGUAUCGUGCACAAGUAUAAUCAGUAACCACUCUACUCCUAGAUCAUGAUAAUCAAAUAUAAAGAUAACCGAGUAGAGCAAUAAGAAGUGAAGUCAUACAGUGCUAGGCUCAACAAUCUUGGGUAAUGCAAGAAAUAUAAAGAGAGAGAGUGGAGGGAACAUCACCGAACGUGCACCACUGGACCGACUUCGGAUCGAAGUACCCACCUGUAUCAGUGUUACGCCUGUCUUUGAACUAUACACAAUCGUCAACCGGACCUAUGAAGAGUCCACCAGGUUGGUGUCCACCUACUAAACCAAAUUACACAACUCACAAACCCCACACAAUUCCCUAAAAUCGGUUUCCUAAAACCGAUCACCUUAAUUUGCCAAAAAUCCCAAAAAUCACACCGGGAUUCCAUCGGGAUCCACUAAGUGUCCCGAAACACACUGACUCGUGCCGUGAGUCACCCGCUGCCUCAAAACACAUCAAUUUGGGUAUCCAGGCAGCCAACAUCAAAGUUCAUGUUGAAACGAUUAUUAUCGGAUAGUUGUUCCAACCCGGGUUCCCGGAAGUGUCAAUUUCGACACCGGAACCCUCUACCGCUAACCCAUUAUCUCUUAACUCUCGAAACGACGAGGGUAACCGGCCAACAAGGCUCGACGGCAAAACACAUGGUGUUCCAACACUAUUGGAUAGAAUUCGACCUGAAACCGCGUUCCAUCGGCGAAUUUUGCCGAAAAACGCGCCGAAAUUGACAUUCGAUUUCCGCAAAAGGUUUCGGACCUUAGACGAUCAGUCCAGGGGUCAACUACCACACAUAUACACUGAUCGCAGCAGCCACGAGGUGGUAAAUUGCAUAAAGGCCCCUAAUACUAUAAAUAAUUCUAUUAUUUUAUGUAAAAAGUAAGGUUUUAAGGGUCAUCACCGCUAACCGAAGGUUUCGGAGGUCAGGCGAUAUACAGGCUGACAGGUCUCGACUAGGCAAAGGUCGUGCUCACUGUUCGAAGCACUGCGGAUUGCUGCGAAGAGCGUGGAAGCAAGCUGAAGUUCAGCGAAUCAAGCGCACAAGGAGCGACAAGGCCGGAAACAGUGAUGCGCGGCUCUCCGAUAGAGAUUGAGGUGAGCACUGUGAUCAGCAGAGCCUCGAGAUCACUAUUCUUACUUUCAGAGAGUUCGGAAGGCCCUCGAAUCACCGAAACAGUGAAAGCAACCUGGAGAUAGCCUAACUAGGCCAGCACUGGACAGGGAGGCCCGAGCACGGUCGGCAGUGGCUCAGCGGCCGGCGCACCAGCGGUAGGGGGUAUGGCCGACCGGGGGAGGUCGGUGCUCGGGCUGGCCGGUGGCUGGAGGCGUCGGUGGUAGAGCUGGAGCAACCUAAGCCCGUGCAGGUUAUCCUCAGGUUCAGGUGGCUUCUCCGGCCACGGCGAGGGUUAAGGCGGCCGGAGAGGUGGAGCGGGGUCCCCUUGGGACCUAGUGGAGCAGUGGGCGAAGGCUGCCGGCGGCGGGGAAGGCGGCGUGGCAAAGUUCAGCCGCACCAGCCCUAGCAGGCAGCAGGCCGCAACAGUCGCGAUAGCAACGCAUCGCGGGGGCGGCUGCGAUCGACCCAGGAAGGUCGCCAGAGGUCCAGAGGAGGCGUCAGUGAGGGGUUUGAGGGGGAGGAGCACUUGUUGACUCCUGGGCAGGGAUGAAGGGAGAGGACAGUGGCAAAGUGAAAAGGGAGAGAGAGGGAUGAUAGCAGUGGAGGUGGUUAGCCGGCUAGAGUGUGGUCGCCGGCAGUCAGGGAGCAUGCGACGCACAAGGGUGAGGGAGGAGCGGUUGCUGGGUGCUUAGCUGAGGGGUAGCAAGGCUAGGGUUAGGGUUUGGAUAAUGAAAACCCUAAUGGUCCCAAUGUAUAAAUAACAUAACUUUGCAAUUAAGUCCUCCAUUUUCUACUAUUUCAUGCUGAGUCCCUCACAGCAUGUGUAAAUCAUGUGCACACAUCUCUAAAAGUGAUUUCACGCAAUUCAGUACAUAAAAUAUAAGGGUUUUUGCAAAAGCUCUAUUUUGCCAGUUUCGACCCCUUCUCGGUAAUCGCAUGAUAUCGGGAGAUCCGUUAAUCCGAUUUGCAAACGGACUGCGCCAACGCUUCUGGCACUACCGAACCAUCGAGACCACAAUUUUGUUUCACCCAAAUUGGUAGCAGUUUCGCGACGGAACUCGUCAUCUCUCCGAUUCCAAACACCGCAUACAUAUAUAUAUACAUAAAAAUCAAAUUUAAAUCAAAUUCAAAAUUCAAAUUUUGAAUUCUCCUAGUUUAAAAGUCUCAAAUAUUACAAUAUGUAAUUAUGUUGCAGUUUUAACAGUAUAUUUUUCAAUUAUAAUAUUUGGUUUGAUACAUUGAAUUUAACUACAGCUAGAGUUGAAACUAUACAAGAAAGGUGAACUGUAGUUGUUCAAACUAUACUUAAAUUGGCUGCAGUUUUAAUUUUAUAUGUUUGGUUAAUUCGCGCAUCUUUUCAAAUUUUUUGAUAAUUCUAUCGAUAUAAAAGAAUAUGAUAGUAUAUGGUUAAAUGCNAUAAUAUUUGGUUUGAUACAUUGAAUUUAACUACAGCUAGAGUUGAAACUAUACAAGAAAGGUGAACUGUAGUUGUUCAAACUAUACUUAAAUUGGCUGCAGUUUUAAUUUUAUAUGUUUGGUUAAUUCGCGCAUCUUUUCAAAUUUUUUGAUAAUUCUAUCGAUAUAAAAGAAUAUGAUAGUAUAUGGUUAAAUGCAUCAAGUAAUUUGAUUGAUAAUAUUGAAUUUAAUUGGGAAUGAGAAUCAUUCCAAAGCAAUAAUGAAGUGUCUCUGAGAGUUAGCUAUUGAAAUGACUACAGCGACACCUGCUGGUCAACACAUCUGCAGAGUGUCAGGAAGAGUUGGAAUCGUCUUGGCGCAAAAUGGAUACAAAAAUUGACUCAGAGCACUGAAACUAGCCAAAAGUGAAAUUUUGACUAUUUUUGGGCGCCCAAAACUUUAGUGCUAAACUGAUAGUGCUACUUAUGCUAUUGGAGUCAUUUCGGGCUGUCAUUCGGGCGCCUAGUUGUGAGCUCGAAUUUGCUAGGUGAAGAACUUCGCAAUUUUUGACCGUUGUUGACACACGGCAGGUGGCGAUUUUGGAUACGGGUGCCACACCCUGCAAGCGUCAAUUUGGUCAGUUUGGGUACGUCAAACAGACGCCGAACGGACAGAACCUCCCCUGUCUGCCCAAGGCUCAACAACAAGGAUCAUGUACAUUUAGUCGCCCAGGUAGACAUAACAACAUACGAGUAUGAUACAAGCACGAACAAAAGAGAGAAUACUAGCUAUUACAUUCAUCGUUCAACCAUUUACAUCAUUGGUUUACAUGUUCAUCUCAAAAUACAUAUACAACUCUCCAAAAGUAACCUCACCCAAUAUACAUCAUGUCUCUCAACUAUACGUAGUACUCUAAUGCAUAAAGGAAGGCUACUAACUAGGGCGCGAUGCCCUUACCACGAUCCUCGCCCGGUCCGCUCGAGCUAGGCCCUGCAACAAAGUGGGAUGAGAACUAAUAAUAGUUCCCAGUGGGUUCAGCUACCAACUCCGCCGAUCUUCCCACUAGGUCUAAACAGGAUAUAAUAUGAUAAUGAAACUGCUAACAUAGUAAUGAAAUUUGCUAUCAUGCUACUAUGCCUUAAUCAAUAGGAAAUGAAUGAAAUGUCUACAUAGUAAUGAAAUCAACUAUCAUGCUACUAUGCUCAUAAGGUAUGUCAUUCAUAUGUUUAUCACCCAAUCAUCUUGGCUAACCCGAAGGUUUGCCUCGACUCACAAUUCAAUCCCAUAGGUGAGGAGACCCUGCCGCUGCACACACCCGAGACCGUCGGCUAGGUAGGUACGUUAACCCAUCAUAUGAUAACUUCGGAGCUCACUGCUUGGGUGGAGCGACCACCCCAAGAGAGAACAGAGUAUGUGAGUAUGAUCCAAUCCUCUCAACCUGAGGAAACCUUAUCAACUAGGGAUAACAACAACUCGGGAAACCAUCUAUCCCAAUGUUCAUGUUUAAGUGCCACCACUACACUAGAUUCACAUGCCACAUGUUUACCACUUGGGGAAAUCAUCUAUUCCUAUGUUCAUUAUGUCAUUAGUGUCUCUACUACACUAGUUUUACAUGCCACUCGUUUAUGUCAUCACAUAUAGUUUCACAUGCUACUCGUCUAUGUCAUCACAUAUAGCUUCACAUGCCACUCGUCUAUGUCAUCACGUAUAUCAAGUUCACCACUUGUUUCGGCACUAUAGGAUUCCAUGUCAAGACCCAAUUCUCGUGCAUCCACUAGAACGUGUCCAACUCACAUUGCUAUAUCUACUAUGGAGGCAUGCAAGGAAUGAAAAUGCAACUAUCAAGCAUCCUACAAUGCAUAAUAUUAAUAUAGGAAAUGUAUGAUUAACAUUACAACAUAGACAUAGAAUGAAGCUCGAUUGCUUCGGAUAGAACCCCCCACCUUCUGGUGAUGCCGCGAUGCUAGAAUCCCAGUUUCGCGAUUUAUGGAUGACGAUUCGGCUCGAUCCAACGCAAACGAACCGAAAACGGUACUUUUCUUCAAUGGCUCGUUGCACGACCGUAGGAACUUCAAUUCGAGUUACCCACAAUAUCGGUUUUACCUUCAAUUAGAGUUACAUUGGCUCAAUUUAGAUCAAACUCAACCAUGAUCAAAAGCCCUCUCUAGAACUCUAGAAACUUACUAUUGCAAGAAUAUACUAUAUCAACUCUUGAUUCAAGCAAAUAGCAACUUACUAGCAUCUAAAGUUUCAUCUAGAUCCAUUCCUAGGGCAUAUAAACUAAACCCUAGCUAUUCACCAUUAGAGGUCAAGAGCUUACCUCAAACAAGCUUUCCUCCCAAGCAAAGGAAGAAGAAGAGAAGGAAGCUCCACCUCCAAGCACCUUUCUCCACCAACUCCUUCUCUUGGUUCCACCCCUAGGAGAGAGAGAGAAGCUUAGAGAGAGAGAGAGAGAGAGAGGGUUUCUCUUUGGGUGUGCAAAUGUCAGGGAAUGAGAGGAAUAAGCCCAUAACACCUCUCAUUUAACCGCUACUCAACACAAUUGUACAAAACACCCUCCACUUCAACUUUUACACACUGCCCGAACGGGGCAGUUUUCGGCUACGGGGUCCAGACCCUGCACAGGAUCCGGACCACGUGAACUCCAUUUCUACGAAAAUUGUAAAAAUUUCUCCCAGCUGCUCACUAAGGCCCUUCAACACCCUUAGAAGCCAUUUCGACGCAUUCGGGCCUUUCCGAAGCGUCCAAAACUUCGCUUUGGUCAAUUUCGAAUGAAGUUCGGUUUCACACAUCGAGGAUUCACUACUUCACAACGGGUGUAGGAUAAACAUCCGGAUCCCCUUACAGUAAGCCCAGUUCUUAGUCUGGACUAUAUUUUGGGUAGAUUUGGGCGCCCAGAUGUUGGAUUAGGGCACUCGAAUUUCAAGAUUUCUGCAGUGACAAGUUUAGUUUUUUUUUUUUUUUUUUUUUUUUUUUUUUUUUUUUUUUAAUUCUUUGGGCUCAUUGUUCCUUACCUAUUCCUCUAUAAAAACUUGUGGACAACCCUGAUGACCUCAUUUCCCUUCUCUUUUCUUGUGAACUCUAAUUCUAUAGCAUUUGAUCCUCCAAAUCUCUCAAAUUCCUCAAUUUCUCCCUACGGGCUAGCUAGAACAAUAGGANUUUUUUUUUAAUUCUUUGGGCUCAUUGUUCCUUACCUAUUCCUCUAUAAAAACUUGUGGACAACCCUGAUGACCUCAUUUCCCUUCUCUUUUCUUGUGAACUCUAAUUCUAUAGCAUUUGAUCCUCCAAAUCUCUCAAAUUCCUCAAUUUCUCCCUACGGGCUAGCUAGAACAAUAGGAACUCUAGCACCAGCAGCAACAGCUUGAGGCUUGGUAGGAUUUUGGAGCUUCUUUUUGCUAUUGUGGCUUGAUUCAUGGAUCGGAGAGUUGAAGGAGAGUUGGUAGAGCAUUUCUAGAAUCAUAAUCUCUAGUUUCUUGGUCUCUAAUUGCUGAAAAUUGGAGUAAAUGUGGUAUUUGAGUUGAAAUUGGAUUUUUAGUUGGAGUUUUUUAGUUUGUGGAUCCGAUUUCUUGUAGUUGGAUUAUUGCUUGAUUUUUGUUGGUUUUUCCAUCUUAUUUGGCGGAUUUGGAACCUCUCUUAUUGGAUUUACAGGUUGGUAACUGAAUUCUUGGUCGUAAUUGCAGUAAUUUGUGAGUUUAGUGUUGAGUCUGAAAUUCAUGUUUUGGGCCCCUCGUUUUGGAUCUUAAAACUGCAACUUUGGGUUUGAGUUGAUUUUGAUCAAUUUUUCUGGUUUAGCUUGAUGCGUUGAGGUUAUUCCGAGUUGGUAGCAAGGUAGGAUGAUUCCUUUUUUUCGUCGAAUUUCAUAUUUUAACCUUCAAAUCCAGCAUUGAUGUAAUUUUGUAUUGAAUUAGUGGAACUCUAUUCCUACUGUGAUUGUGAGGGCUUCUUCUGUUUUUUCUUGCUAAUUGAGACCGAGGGAGGUUCUUUUGGUGGUCGAGUCACUGCAGUGGUUGGAUUAGCUCACAAGGUGGGUUUAAUUUAUCAAAUUUAGUAAAAUUUCCAUUAUGUUUACUAAAUUUCAGCAUAUAUGCUAUUGUUGAUCAACAUAGUUGUUUUGGCUUUGGAUCACUGGAUUAGCAUAGAUAAUGUUGGAAUCUGAACCUUGAGCAUGUUAAACCUGUUUAUAGAGGCAUUUAAAUGUUGAAAUUAGAUCCCAUAUAUGUGUAAAAUUUGGACUAGUCCAUCCCAAACUUUCGUCGUUAGUAUUUAACUUCGUUAGCUAUUUUUACUUGUUUUUCACCCUGAUUAGAGGGUUGCGAGCAUUUAGAUUAGUAUAGGAUGACUUCACACUCAUGCUGACGGGCCAAGUGGAUUUUUAUACUACUUGUUAGAAUGAGAUCUAUAGUAAGGUGCCGUCUAAGUUGACGGUGGUCUCGGAUCUUCGAUUUUUGCAUUGAAUUGUGCCUGGGGCACAUGAGUCAAUGUUUUAUGAUUUGAUUGAUCACUCCCAUCGACUACAGCUCGUAUGAACUAGAUUUGAUCUCCACAGAGAUUAUUCUUUUUGCAUAAUUGGUUGUAUAGCUCCCCCGAGUGCCACUUCAGAGUGAGGCUUUUUGUGUUGGUAUUGUUGCAGCCCUUUUGAGUGGCCUACCUUGGACCGACCACCCUGAAGGUUGUGUGUGGUAGCAGGUUGGCGCAAACUUGACCGGACCCUUGGAGGCGGUCAUUUGGAUUGAGUUUGGAUAGUGUAUACUCAAUAGGUAGUUGACACAUCCAUUACAUUUGGUAGUUUCUUUUUGAGCACUAGUAGCAUAGAUGCAUAGUGGUUGUAGAUUUCUUUCUAGCUUUAUUACUUUUAGCUCUUCUACUUAUCUAGCUUUUACUUUUAGCUUUCGUAGACCUACUGGAUAGGCCAUUGAUGUCGGUGACGGUAUCCAAUCAGGACUACUUGUCUAUAAUAAUUCUCACAUCCUUUGUUGCUAUCUUUUCUUGCAGAGCCUUCCGCCCCUGUCAUUACUACAAAUUGAGAUAAGGGAGUCGCGAAUUAAAUCUCUAUCUACCUGUAUGGGCCGAGCUAGAGGGUACCUUUUGUGGGAGUUUUUGGAGUAGUUCAUUGUACACAUCGAGGUUUAUGUAUCUUUAUUUACAGCUUGAGAGAUGUCUGUGUACUAGAUAGAUGUAUAUCAGUUAUACCAUUUUGGGACUUAUAUAUGUACAGUGGAUUACCUGAGUCUAGCUACUAUACUCUUAUGAGUAUAGACCACUUUGUACUCAUAAAUUUCCGGCCGUUAGAUUUGUCCCUUUAACUAUUUUCACCUAUUGAAUCAUAUUAUUCAACCAACUACUCGCUCAACCCUAGAUGACCACUACCAUCCUAAUUGGGGACCACUGUCAUCCUAACCACACAUCCCUUCAUCAAACGGCCGAAAACUUAUGAGUACAGGGAGCUCUGUACUCAUAAGAGUAUAGUAGUCCUAGCAUGGAUUACCUUUGGUUUUAGCUGUUUGCUUUAGCUCUGGUACUUGGUUGUGGUGGUGCUUGUUCUAGUCAUAGGUUCUUCUUUCGCUUCGUGUGUACACGACUUCCUGCGUAUGCGACAGGUCUACUAGCAAGCCCAAGUUCAGUUGCAACUCAGGAUGUGACAACUAAUCUUAUUUCUCUAGGAGAGGAUGGAUAUCUUGGUAUUAAUAAAUUAAGAUAAUUAUAAAAUUCUUAAUCUGACCAUCUUUUUUUCCUCUCCAGCUCCAUUACCUAGUUUUCUUUACUCUCUAAUCUCAUUUCUCUCUUUCUCUCUCUCUCUCUCACUUCAUUCUUUCUCUAAACCUAAGCUCUCUUUUUUAUCCCUCUAACCCUAUUUCUCAGGCUCAUCUACUAAUUUCGAUUCGAUCUCUUUCCUUAUUUUUCUAAUUGUACUCCCUUUUUGUAAGGAAGUGAAUUCUUAAAAUCCGAGAGUUAGACUUCGCUCAGAAUCGACUAAUUGUCGAGUAGGUAGGCUUCGGAGAAGCCGAAAGUGCCCGAAACACGAAAAGUGCAUUGGAGUUGGAUCCGCGAGAGCAAACAGUGGAAAAUCUGCACUUGGCUGAAAUUGCUCUCGGGGACCGGUCCCUGGUGGGAGAGAUCGGUCCCCGUAAGUUGGAAAAUGAGAUAGAGAACUCUGCGUGUGAUAUUUGCUCUCGGGGUCCGGUCCCUCGGUAUGGGACUAGUCCUUGAAGGUCCAGUCCCUCAGUCGAGGAUCGGUCCUCGUACGCGCAACCUGCGAAUAGGAGGAAAAUUUGGCUAAGUCCUGAGAGUUCAGCUCUCGGGGACUGGUCCCUGGCGGGACAGACCGGUCCCCGUACACGUAAAGGCUGGCAGACAGCCUCUGCUCGCAAAAGCUGCUCUCGGGGACCGGUCCCUCUAGGGACAGACCGGUCCCCAUGCGCAAAAACUGCCCAGUCAGAGCAGUUUGAAAGAAGCAAAGUUGAGGGGUUUGGGUGCAAUUGUUACAUUAGUUGUGGGGUAUAGAGGGGUGAGCCCUCUCUUCUCUCUCAUUCUCAUCCCCAAUCACCCAUUUCUCUCUCUCUAGGCUCUCUCUCUCCUCUCUUGAAGCAAAGAAAAAGGAGAAGAAGAAGAGGAAGAAAAGGAAGGAGAAGGAUGAGAGGAAGAAAAGGAAGGAGAAGAAGGUGGAAAGAAAGGUGAAGCAAACAAGGAGAAGGCCUUGGUCAUCUUCCUCUUCCUCCUCACACCAUUGGAGCUAGCUCAAGAGGUGAGCUUCUUAACCCUAAUGGUAGAAACCUAGGGUUUUGGGAUUUCUAGCUUUGUGAUUGGGUCAAAUGGACCCCUAGCAUGCUUGUUAGUAGAUGAAUGCUAGAAUCUAGAGCCUUGAUGGAGUGGUUUUGCUAUAGUGCAAAUCUAGGGCACCGAUAUUGGGGUUUUCCUAAGUAGAGUGGUUUGAUCUUAAUUGAUAGCAUCUAAACCUAAUUGAUAGGUGCCUAAACGCGUUGGCGAAGACGGAUUGAUCAUUCGUCGAGCCGGUGAAAAGUUAUCGGCGAAACAAGACCGAUUGGGCUUCGUUUCCACCUAGGAGGUCGAAGCAACAUAGAAGCAAGUGCUGAGUAGCGUUCCUAGCACCCCGACAUUAUCGAAAGGUGGGUGGUAUCAUCCCGAAGCAACCGGGUUCCUCACUAUGUCUUAGUACUUCAUGAUUUGCAUCUCUUACAUGUUGUAUUGUAGGAUUGCAUGUUAUUCCUUUCCUUAUGCUUGCUAAUGAUAUCGAUGUAUGAGUUGAAUGCAUGAUGAUGGUUAGAUGAGGAUUGGGUCUUGACAUUGAAUUCUAUAGUGCUGAGAAAAAAAAUGAACUCGAUGAUUGUUAAAGACAUGAUGAGUGGCAUUGACUGUUAAAUAAACAAGAACGAGUGGCAUAUAAUAUAGUGUACGAUGACACUAGUGACAUAUGAACUUAGGGAUAGGUGAAUUCUCUAGUGAUGACUCGUUGAACAAGGACAUAGUGUAGUCAAGUACUUACACAUGGACAUUGGGAUAGGUGGAUUCCCGAGUGACUUGUAACCCUAGAGUUGAUAGGGUAUCCUCGAGUUGAGAGGAUUGAUCAUACUCACAGUCUGUUUAUACUUGUGGUGGUCGCACCACCCAGGUCUUCGUGCACUUCGAAGUUUGGUGCGAGAGGGGCAGAGUUGAUGCCCUGCAAGCGGCCUCGGGUUUGAGAGCGAGGUGAGUCUCCUUACUAUACGAGGUUUGAGGUGAGUCGUGGGCGAACCCAAGUGGAUCGCCAAGGAUUGAUUGAAUAUGAGAAUAGCAUUGUUACUUGAACAUUUGCUUGUUGGACAUGGAUAGUGGACAUAGUAGCAUGUCAUAAAACCUUUACUAUAUGAUGCAUGCAUAUAUGACAUAUGAUUGGGCAUAGUAGCAUAGUUUUUCUACAAUUGCAUUUAUAGUUUUUCAUAACUAUCUAUCUAUCUACUUUUGCCCACUCGAACCUAAACUCUCUACUCUCUCUCUCUCUCUUCACAUCUUUAACCUAAACUCCCCCUCUCUCUUAAUAUAUAAAUUCAUAGCUCCUUCUACCUUUAACCUCAAAUAUCUUUUUGUAAGCUAAGCUAAAGCUCUCUCAAUUUAACUAAAAUAAAUAAAUUUCUCCAUACUGUUGAAAAGAAAAUGGUCUUCACGUUACUACUAACAUUAUCUAAAAUUAAUGGAUGAAAGAAACAUACUAAUUUUAUAUUUUUGAUAAUUUCAAAUAAUAUAAUUGUGCAAAUCAAAUACUGAAAUAUUACAUUCAUAGUAAUAAGAUGUUUAGGAAUCAAAUUUUUAGUAAUUCUUUCAUUCUUGAUAAUUUUUCAUUGCACGAACCCAACACAUCCAAAUAGUUGCACAAAGUAAUUUUAAAUAAGAGGCUUGUUUAUCUAUCUAAGAAUAGUCCCAACAUCUAUAUUAUAUAUAUAUAUAUAUAUAUAUAUAUAUAUAUAUAUAUAUAUAUAUAUAUAUAUAUAUAUAUAUAUAUGAAGUAAAAAAUUUUGUAAAACAAUUCUCAAUUCUAUAAACCAAAUAAAUUAUUUAUGAUUGUAGCACUUUCUAGCGCAUAUAAUAAAACAAGACGCAUGUAAGUAAAGUGUUGUAUUUUUUUUUUUUUUUUUUAACAACAUACAUUCCCAACUAUAUUGUUUUUAUGAAUACAUCUAACCAAAAAAGUGCCUCUAUAUGGGUGCUGAAGAAUGCAGCGAAAGUAUUCAUUCGUAUUUUUUAGCAGAAGUGACUUGCGUUAGAACGCGACGAGCCCAAAUCGUAGAGUUUGAUUCAUGUGUCCUCGGAUCGUCCGCGAAGGUCUUCUAUCACUCCAAACUUGCGGUUGAUCGAACUACAAACGAGCACGAUCUCCAAUUCACAGUUCAAGACCCUCUAGAAUAAUAGGUUAAUGAAGUAUGUGGUUUCUUGUUGUCUUUCUUUGUUGUGUCUUAUAUGAGAUUGCCCGUAUAUUUAUAAGGGAUUCUAAAAUCCUAAUAGGUACGUAAGAGAUAAGGUCAAAUCGGUUUAUAAUUAUUAUCCUAAUAUGAUUAGAAUUUAUCUCUAAUUAACUUUUCAAUUUUAAAGCGAGAUUAAUCCUAAUCCAAUUAAUCAACGUAAUCAACGUAAUAACCAUCGGAUUGAGUCCGAUUAUGGGCGCACCCGAUUCGACUUAACCGAACGCCAACCCAGGUGCAAUCUUCUUCCAAUCUCUUGCCCAUGACUUCCGUACAUACUAGUGAGAUUCAUCCUAUAAGAUGACAUGAUGAGCAUCGGAAGGCAUAGAAUUGCCCAUAGAAAAAUGCCACACGUAUACCUAAUAUACGAGUACAUAUAAAUCCAAAAAUCUCUUUUGAUUUUUAGUAUUAAAAAAGAAUUGAUAAAACUAAUGAGUUAAUCCUAGCGAUAUAUAGAAAACCUAGGGCCUAUAACUUGCACCGAAACUGGAUGUACAAUAGUUGUUCAAUUAGCUAGCAUUGCUCUUGCGUAUAAUGUGCACCCCAUUUAAGAUGUUUGGUUUUCUCUAUAAUUAUUAGUUAGGAACCUUUUUGUUUGCCACCCGUGUCGUUGACACGUGACGACAACAAAUGGUUAGAAGAACAUCUAAUGAGAAGUUUGAAUUUGAAAAUGACCUGACUUUGCUAAUUAGGUGUGGAUCACAAGAGAGAAAUGUCAACCUUACCUUUCUAAUUAUGGAUUCUAUUGCAUAAAAAAUUUAAUUACGAUUUUUUUGGCUUUACAAUAAAAACAUCCGUACUAAGUAUUAUGCUUACAGUGUAAUGCCCUAAAUUCAAAGUGUGUUAUUCCUGUUGAAUAAAAAAAAGAAACAAAAAUAUUGUUUGUUUGACGGCUCGAGUUUUUGCCAAACUCUUAGCAUAUGACGUGAAGAGUAAUACUAAUUAAUUGAUAUAAAAAUUAAAAAUAUCGUAAUAUGACAGCUUACAUUUCUUCGAGAAUAAUUAUAAUUUCAUAUUAUUUAACAGUUUCUUCUUUUUACUUUAUUUUUGUCUCAUUGUUCAAUAAACAUUAGUUGUUGCAACAAUUUCUAUAUGCAGCCUAGAUCGUAAGUAUAGUUUUUUUUUGUUAGUUGCGGUUUCAAUCUUCACCUUCAAACUUACAUGAGCUUUGAUUUAGUGAUAAAAUAUUAAUUAUAAAUUUUUUUUAAUCUAAAGAAAUUCAAAUAAGCAAAAGUAAAUAAAGGGCUCAAAUUCUCUAUAGUUCUUCGUAAAUAUAUAACAUCUUCUUGUGAGAUUUUCGAUCAAAAUUGACUGUCGGAAAAUUGAAAUCAGAAAGAUUUCUAGCUUAGAUGUAGAUAUAUUUUAUUCUUUUGUGAUGCUUAUUUUUUGAAGAGAAGAAUUGCUAGGCAAUGAUAGAAAUUUAAAUAUUACCUACUAAUACAUAUUAACAUUGUAUACACUAAACUUUUACAAAUUACGAAGUUCUAGUGAGAAAUAAUGGUUGGAAACUAUUUCAACAAGCAGACUAACAAUGGGUAUGGAACUAGAAUGGGGAGUCGAUACUAAGUAGGGUGGAGGCUGGGGAAGUCUUUGGGUUUUGCGGAACUCACCCGGGUAUCAGUACUUUUGCAAGUAUUGAUACUGAUAUUGCGGGUACCAAUAUACUAUAGAAACUGCAAAAAAUAGUAUUCGGAUUCUGCAAAACUAGAGUGGAGUACCAGUACACUUGAGCUGCAUAUUGGUACUGGAGUCUGAGUACCGAUCGAUACUCAACUCCGCGAAUAACAAUUUUAGAAGUGUUGCAUAUGUGAAUAUUUGGAGGUUUAGGUGUCAUUGUUACACCUCUAUGUAACCCAUUUCAAUAUCCAAAACUCUAAAAAAAUCCUGUUUCUCCUCCUGCCUCAUGCUGCUCUCCUCUUUCUCUCUAGAAACAAAGAGAAAAACCUAAAUCCCAUUAUUGGAGAGAUCCAUCUCUUGGGGAGGUUUUGGAAAGAUCGAAGUGCUUGGAGAAAGCUUUAGGAGGAAGAAGACAAUGCUCUCCACCAAUAUUUCCAUAAAAGAAGAAAGAGAGAGGAGAGUUGUAGGGGGGGGGGGGGGGGGGGGGGGGGGNAACUUGGUUAAAACCAUUUCUUAGGGUCUUCUUAGUGUUCUAGGAGAUCAAGAGGCAUCUUUCCUGGAAGGAUCAAGUAAAGACGGAGAAUAUCACCGAAAAAAGUUUUGAUCUCCCGUUUACCUAAACAUUUACUUGAUUUCAUGCAUGUUUAAUAUGUGAUAUGCAAACUAAAAGUAUUGUAGUUGCAUGCAAGUGGAACUUGUUGGUCAAGAUGGCUUGUUACCAUUUGAUUUAGGAAAAUAGGGUUUUAACCCUUGUGUGUAUAAAGGAAAAUGGACGAAGGACAUGCAUAUAAGUAAAUGAGAAUCUUGAAAUAUAUGUAAAAAUAAACGGGGCAUCAAACUUAGAUCAAACCUAAGGUUGAACAUAGUGAUAUGUGAAUUCUAGGCUAAAUACGAACUAGAUAACAAGUGUAAAUGUAAUGGAUAUUGUAGUUAACCCUAUUGUAGUACACUGAAUUUUUUAAUAUUUAAGCAAGUAUAAAUAAAAAUAGUGCGAGAUACUAUUUUUAUUGCACUCAGAGAAGUAAAAGAUAAUUCUAAAAUGAUUUGUGAUGAGAUUGAAUAAAAAAAAGGAGAUUUGAAAUUUUCUAUAAGAUACAGGGCUUAUAUUUCAGAUGAAAAUUCACAGUGGUGAAAAAUUAUAAAACUUUCAAAAGUUAUUUGUACUAAUUUUCUGAGGCCAUAUUUAAAGUUGUGUAUAUUUCAAAUACUUAAAUAGUGAAAAGGAUCGAUUGAGCCUAACAGCAUCCAUUUAAAUUUUCUAAUUAGCAAAGUUUCAGUGAUUCAAAGUGAUUCAAAAUUGAAAAGUUAAGGUAAAUUGCUAUUGAUUAAUUUUAAUUGAGUUUGCCUGUUAAAUUUUAGCUUAAACCAACAUUCAAAAAGGCUUUAAUUGAACAUAUCAUAUCAGAAUUGGACUAAAAUUAUAAUAUUUAUUACUCGAGGACUUAUUGGCAUUUUGUAGCACAUUAGUGGAAUUCGACUAAUGCAUCUAGGAGCUCUCUUGUAGCUCCUAUCUCCUCCAACCUACAUGCAAGAGAAAGAAAGGGAAAAAAAAGAAAGAAGAAAAAAAACGAGUUUGGAGGUUUUUAAUCGAUUUGACGAGCUGGCUGAACACGCGCGUAAGUAGAAAUUCUUUUGCAUUUCGAUUAGAAGAUUAGUAUUUUGAUGUAGCAUAUUGUUGAAUUCGAUUUAUGGGCUUUUCCUUCACAGCUAAUGAUACGGAGAGAAGUUUGGCAGAUUUUUGUAAAAAUUGAAAUUUUGAAGUGAUUUUUAUGCAUGUUAGGAACCGAACUCGCAUGCUUUUUACCAUGGAAUCUUUCAAGCAUGUUGGUGUUUACUUGCUAUUGCGUGGCCAGGGGAAAAAGCUGCUUGCAUAGUAGCUGUGGGAGCUAAAGUUGGUGCAAUUGGCAGCAGCUCCAUCAGUCACAAAAGUAGCAGCAGGGCUAGCUACGGCAUCUGCUGCUGUGAGAAGCAGCAAGGCCUGCUGGUGCAAGUGGGUACCGGUAUGUCACAACCUUUAGCAUUUUUGCUAGCAAAGCCCGUGCGGCGCUCGCCUUCUUGCUAGAAGAUGGGCAAACUUAGUUCCCUAUUGCUAGCCUAGACCUCCGCGCCCUACGAUGAAGUAUGCAAAUAGGAAAAAAGAGAGAUAGGCAGAGGUUCCCAAAAAACUAGGUACUCCACUGCUUAGAAAAAUAGGACUACAAAACACAACUCCUCUUCUUGUCUUGGCCUUAGCCACCCCCACUAUUUAUAGGCCUAAGAUAUAAUGAAUCUAGCCACUAUAACACUUACCCACUAACUUACCCAUUAGUACAUAUAAAGAGCCCUCAUAAAAGCUAAGCCCAAGAGUCUCUCCCAUGACUCUUGGCAGUUUUUUUCUAAGAGAUAAUAGGGCAUAAUGACGGCAGUUUUGCAACCCCUCACUUUUCCCAAAAUGGGCUGGAUUCGAGUCUCCUUGAUAACCCGUUUCAAUCCGUUUCAGCUUGUGGAGUUGGGCUAGAGACCGGGCUACGUAGAAUUUUUCUAAAUCCCUGAUAGGUAGCUACAAAAGCACUAGUAGGGUUGCUGCUGCAUGCUACUGCAGCUAGCAGCAGCGGAGAAUGUUGCUAUUGUAGCUGCAGCUGCAGCUAGCAGCACCAGCAGAGCAUGCUGCUGCUAUUGCUUUGGCUAGCAACCAUAGAGCAUGCUGCUGCUAUGGUAGCAAGCAAUGGCAGUAGCAACAGCAGCAGCACAACAGCAUCGGAUAUUACAGCCACAGUAGUUCGCUUUCGGGACUCCAAUGAGUCCAAUUUCGUCUCAGUUUCGAAAUUGAAGUUGAUUCGAGGAUGCUGUUGAUCAAAGGAUGCUGAUGGUAGUGAGCUUCAAGUUGCACCUUAUUCCAGUCAAAAUUAAAGUGAAUUGGAAUGAAAUUGAGUUAAUUGUUGAAGUGGGCAGGAAAUUGCAGCCAUAAUCAUGGCUAGUCCAAAACAGCCCGAGAGGUCCUAAAGACCACCGUUUCACACUGAACUUUUGUAUCGGGUAGUAAAAGUUCAAAUAUGAUUCUCAAAGAACUUCAACAUCGCAAGUAUUACGGAUUUUAUGUUAACAUAUUUCGUGAAGUGAGUGGGAGUCUUGAAGAAUUGAAAACAAAAAGUUUAAGUUGAAGACUCAAAGACUCAAAAUAUGAAUUCACGAUGCUCGCUAAGUUUUUACAAUAUUAGUGGUGGUUUAUGAAUGUAUUUAAGUCAUUAGAAGUUAUUAGAAUUGAAAAAAAUUAUAAAUAUUAAAAGCUAAAACUUUUUAUAGUCAAGAUGCUAUCAAGGUUGGGACCAUAAAGAUGAAGGUCAGGACAUUGAAACUGUCAAGAUCGGACCUUGCAGGUAGGAUCCGAACCUUAAUACUCUAGAAAAUAUCAAAAUCCGGACCCUGCAUAUAAGGUACGGACCCUGAACCUAUUGUGAGAUUUUAAAAUUAGUUUUUCAAUUCUAAUAUGAUUCUAAUUGCUUUCAAACCUAUAAAUAAGAUAUGUGGAUGUCUCUAAAAUAGAUUAAGCAUAUUUUUAUCUUUUAUUAGGAACCUUAAAAAGUUGUAGGUAGUUGUCUUUCUUAUCAUCUAAAACAAGAUUCUUUCAAAUUGAUUCUUAGUGCCCUCGAUCUUUACUGUUCUUCUAAAAUCAAAGAUUUGCUUAGAGACGUCUUCUACAGUUCUUUCAUGAUCAUCUAAGCAAUAAGUCAUCACCAACCUUAUUCGCCUUGCUCAUGAAGGAGUGCAUGCAAGGACUGCGAUUUUUCCUUAAAUAAAUUUGACAUCUUUUUAAAUAUUAUCAUGUGUAUUUUAAUUUUAUUAAAACUACUCGUCAAAUUACAAUGAAAAAUAAUUUAAAAUAGAUUUUAAGUGAUUAUUACUUUUCACUUAAGUGAAUUGUAACUUGUAUUUUUGGGGGAGGCCAUUGAAUGUAGAUGGCUUUUGUUGCGUACCGGACUCCGUUUCAAGUUAUCCAGUAGGUCAAUUUCUGACGUUUUGACUAUGUCGGACCCAAUGACACUGAUGGAUUUUAUGUCUGAUUCACAGUUUUUGAGAAUUGUUGCUUUUAUUGCAGUUGCGGCAAUUUAUACACCGUGUUUUUGCUUUUCAAACACAAUCGAUGAUUCGUUUUACGAGAUAACCCAUGGGCAGGAUGUAGUACACUAAACUUUAGCAAAUUAUAAGGUUCUAGUGCGAGAAUAGUAUUUUGUACUAUUCUAGAUGUUUUGCGGGUUGUAGGUUGAAGGUUAACCUGUUUCUGGUUUGUAUUAGGCGUGAGAAAGGGUUCCCGACAUUAAAAUUUGCAAACAACAGGUUUUAGUGCUGAGUAUCGGUACUAAAGUGAGGUACUGGAACCCUAUAAAGUGCCAAAAUAGGUAGCUCUCGAGUUUUGAGGAACCAGGUUGCGACCCGUGUACCCGUGUACUGGUACGUGGACCCGUGUACCGGUACGUGGUUCCUCAAAACAGGUUAAAUGCAGUACCGGUACGUGGACCCGUGUACCGGUACGCCGUGACAGAUUCUGAAUAGUCGAAACUGCAGGGGUGUUUUUGCAAUGUGGCUUCUCUAUAUUACCACCCACGCCCCUAGGGCUCUCCCCUGAGCUGAGAAGGGUGGAGAACAAGGUGAGUGAGGUCUUCUCUUCCCCUCCUUUGAUUUGAUAUCCAUUUUGGAUGGAUUUUGGUGGAUUGAUCUUUCUUUUUCCCCUUUUUAUGCUUUUCCACCAUUGUUGAAGCUUGGAGCUUGGAUUUGGAGCAUAGUUGAGGAAAGAUCUUGGAACCUAGAGGGUUUUGAACCUAGAUUGAAGCUUCUAAGAGGUAAGCAACUUGUUUUUUCUUCAAGAUUUCAUGAUUUGAAGGUUUCUUUGAUAUGAAACCCUAGAAUGAGGUUUUAGGGUUAAUUUUGGGUAUUUUGAAUCCAGGGCCUUUUGAGCUAAAUUGAUUGGAUUAGAACCUUCCUUUGGGUUGGAUUGGAAGGGAUUUAGCUCUCUUUUGGAGCUUGGGAAAGAUUUUCUACUCCAUAGGUGAGAUUUUAGCCCUUUUGCCUUGUUGGUUAAUAUUUAAUCUUAUAGUUGUUCGUAACGCUCGUGUAUCUCUUCGCUCCUUACUUUUAGGGUGCUUAGAGACUCGUGGAUAACUCCGUUCGGCGAAUCGAAGGAUCCCGAGACGGUUCGAUGGGUUUGACCUAGCCAUACAAUGAGAAAAUCUCAUUUGUGAUGAUUUGAGUAUCGUUAAAUGAAAAAGCAUACAUAAUCAUGUUAGAUAUAUUUAUUAUGAAUUUUAGAAUGCUUAACAUGCCUAUGUAAUGUAUAGAAAAAUUUCAGACCUCUAUAUGGUAGAGAGCUUGCAUGUGAGACUUAGCAUUCUAGUUGAGUUUUGGAACUAUAAUUCCUAUCAUGAAAAUGAACAUUACUUUCAUGGAUUUAACCUUUAUGCCCAAUUGUGUCAUUAGGGACUUUGGAAGCCUAGAGAGGCUUGGGGACUUAGACUAUUUGAGAAUUUGGGCCAAUGUCAUAAAGGGGCAUUGGGCCCGGGCUAUAGUGAACAUUGGUAUUAAUGUCCUAAUUGGAACAUAGAAUACGAAUUGGGCUUAAUUAGUUGUGAUGCUUAAGUGUCAUAAAGAGGCAUUAAGCCAUUGGGUAUUGGGUUAUCACAUUGUGACAUAGAGCUAGACCGUUGGGUUACUAGUGGCUAUUACCAUGUUUGAGACAUGGGGGUUGGAUACUUGAGCUUUUGACUACGCUUGCUUGCCAUUUGUGCUCAUUCACACAUGCUUGUGAGGGUCGCUCCCUACAAGCCGGCACUCCGGAGUUAGCCUACGCGACCUAUAUUCGCUCGUGCGGUAUUGAGAAGCCUACGGGGUCGAGUGGGACAGACACAUUCCAAGAGCAGGAAUGUUGGGCUACCACAGGCACUUAGGCGGCACAAGCUGGACUACCUUGGGUAGGUCCUUAAUUGGAAAUGGAAAUCGACACGGCGUCGAGUGGGUUUUAAUCACUACUAGAUAGAGAGUAGUAGUUGGAUUACUUGGACUUGCUUCUAGCAUAGUUUUGGACACUUGAGUAUACAUACAUACAUGUUGUAUGCUAGGAGAUGUUGCUUAUUGCAUUCAUAUAUACAUUGUUGUCAUGAUAAAGCAUGAUCUUUAUAACUUCAUAAGUAAACCGUGAUAUUUACUUGUAGCCAUGUAGGGAUAUAUUGCUUAUGACAAAGUAAAGGUGCAUCAUAUUAACACCAUGUUUAAUUGCAAUAUAAUAGCUUAGCAUUUUAGUUAUACUUUCAUAAACGCAAUUUAUUCGUUAUUAUUUCUCUCUUUUUAGACUUACCCUUUCUUUGGGGCCUAGUGGUGCAUUGAGCUGAGGUCAGUAAUUGCCCACUGGGAACUAUGAAUUAUAGUUCUCACGCCCUUUGUUUUAUAUUUCUUUCAGAGCCUUCCACGCCGGGAGAGGCUAGGGACCGUGGGAAGGGCGUUGCUUCGAGCUAACUCUUCAGCGAGUGACGAGUUGAUAGGUGGUCUACC